rnacentral:lncRNA from 1 species
AAUAAACAGAAUAUAGUAAGAACUUUUCCAACAUGGCAUUAACCAACAUAAAACUACUUCAUAAUCUUUGUAAAUAUAACUAACAGUGUAGUAAACCAUCUCAAAUAUUGUUUACUAGCAGAUAUUAUCCCCAACCCAUCUUAUCUUAGGAACCACCACCCCCAGCAGCAGCCAGAACCUUGACUUUCUCCUCUUGUUUGAUAGCAGCAGCAGCCUUCACCUCCUGCUUCAUUAUUUAUUACAUGAGAACAAAGAUGCACCAGCAGUACAUGUCAGUCUAAAACUCCUCUUUCUACUACACUCCUUCCUACCAGCAAAAAUCAAAACUCAGACUGAAACAGAGCUCAACGUAACCAGAGAGAAUUCGUCUACUCACAACUACAAUUUCUCCAACCAAUCUUCUGUAGCAUCUCAUAUCUGUAGACCCAACUUAAGCAACCAACCAAUGAAAUGCAAAACCUUUAUGAUAGUCAAUAUCUGUUGCUCGUUUCUUUGAGGGAACUGUCAACUUCUGUAAGCCUUGUGGUUGUUGAUAUCACAUCUCUGCUGUUUUUCUUUUCCAACCCAAAUCCGAUGCCUGGACAAGGACACAUCACUGCUCCUAUCACUCAAAACCGAAAUCUCCAUUCAUAUCCAACGCCUCAAGUUUCAUCUUGGAAUCAUAAUAAACACUGUUGCUUGUAAUCAUAAUAAACACCUGAAGCUAAUCUUGUCAGGUCUCCACCUUGGAAGCAGCCAUAUCAACAGCUCUAGCACAAACUCGUUCAAAGUUUCGAUGAUGUAAGAAGCAUAUGCGUAGAGGGACCAACAGCUUUCGAAAUUUGGUGCACAACAAUGUUGAGUUUGAAAUGAUAGAAAGCAAAACCCCAUAUGGGUCAUUAGAGGGCCAAAAUACAUCAACUAUAGAAAACAUGCGAGGGAAGGAGGCAGUUCACAACCAAACUCAUAGUGAGACAAAAGGAGAAGAUUAUUCUAUCAGGUAACCUUUGUAUCAGAUUAAAGGGGCUCCUCUAGCAGGAAGAAACAUGUCAUAAAAUCUGCUCGUCAAAGUGAUGCCAAAAGGAAAUCAGUUUGCUACUUUCGGACAGGAAUAUUUUCAGGAAAUCAUGGACUUUGUGGGAUUCCAUUUCAGAAAACAAGCCAUACAGCAAGAUCCCCACACAAAUUACCAGGCUCACCACCUUCAUUUCAUUUCUAACCUUGUCACAAGAUUUGCUCAUUAGUCAGUUUGCUACUUUUGGGUCGGAAUCUUUUCAGGAAAAUCAUGGACAUUGUGGGACUCGAUUGUUGAAAUCUUGCUUUCCAUCACAUCAGAGCACUAACCCAACUGUUGAAGGAGGGAAGAGUCUGAUUGAUUGGGGGUGCUUACCAUAUCAACCUUAUGCAAGAAGCAUAGGUUUGGAGGGACCAGCAACUUUCAGAAUUUGGUGCACAACCAUGAUACUAAUAUUAUGUUCAGUUUGAAAUAGAAACCAAAACCAAACGACACAACCUUAUGGAAACACAUCAACUAGCAAUCAUGUGAGGGAAGGAGAUAGCUCUGCCCUCACGGCAAACCAUAGCGAGACAAAGGAGAAGAUUAUUCAAUCAGGUAACCUUUGCUUGUAUCAGAUUAAAAUGACUCUCUGGCAGGAGGUUCAUAAAUCUGAAAUACCAAAGAUUUGCAUCAUUUUGAACUAUCUUCUCCAAUCAGGUAAACUCUGUACAUGAUUUUGCAGAGGACCUAACAAAAGGAAUUUACCAUUUAGGGUAUCGUGUUUCAUAUGUUUCCACAGGUCGGGUUGUCUGGAUAUUUCAUCAAUAUCAUCAUUUAACAGCUUAACAAGAUGAAGUUUUCAGAGCACAUAUUAAAUGAUUGUGUAUCAGAUUAAAGGGACUCUCAGGCAGGAAGUUCAUAAAUCUGGAAUACCAAAAUCUAACUCAACGAUUUGCAUCAUUUUGAACUAUCUUGUCCAAUCAGCGGAUGAGCAAUUUAUGGAGAUAGAAAUAACAUUUCAUAUUUUUUUCAAUUUAAAACACAGCAUUUCAAAUUAAAUCACAUCAACACAGAUAUAAAAAGAUGCACAUGACUAACAUUUUUCAAAACUGAAUUCUCUAGGGGUGAGAAUAAUUUCUUAGUUGCCUUACAGACUUACAUUACAAAGGCAUCAAAACAACUACAGAAACUAACCUAGAAACCACAUUCAAAAUCCUGAUUAAGGGAAGAAGGACUCCUACCAACGACCAAUUCAACUAAAUAAUCAUAAACCUACCAUUAGACACUCAGGUUCAUUGCCAUAACAGUUUCGCAUACAAGAAUGUAAGCCUAGAUAUGUGAUUAGUGAACUAAACAGGAAGCAACUCACUCAGGUAGAAGAGUAAUGAAAGCAACUCAGGUAGAAGAGUAAUGAAGAUUAUGCAAUUUGUGUUAGAUCUAAAGAAACAUAGAGAGUUGGCAAGCAAUUCAGGCAUCAAUAACAAUCAAUAUAUGUAGGACUUGAGAGACAAGUUUCAUUUUCCAGGUAUCAUGUCAAAGUAACAUUCAACUUCAAUAUUGAACAACCUAUUACACUUGAGAUUAAGGGUUCUGGGUUCACAAAGCAAAUCUAGAAAGAAAUAGUCUAAUCGAACUCAAGUAGGAAAUCAGGUAAGGGUAGAUCUUGCAACCAAUUAAAGUUACCUUAGAGUUGAAGGAAGAAUCUGAUGAAAGGGAUAUGGGACAGAGACUGAGAUUUUCGACGAGGGACUGGACUUGCUGUUCAGUUCUCUCACUUCCUCAAGGAAUGCCCAAACAUCAGGAUCAAUAUAACAACGUAUUUGAUUCUCGGAGUUGUGAGACUGAGUUGUUGGCAUAGAAGAAGAAGAUAGACCAACUCCAUCAUCACAAAGUCUAGGAACCUUUGAAGAUGGCUGUGAGGAACAGCCACCAGCAGCAGCAUCAAACUUUCUCUUGCCACUGGUUUUAUGAUGAUUUCCGUACCUUAACAGUUCCUCUUCAGAUGGGUUGAAAGGGUGGUAACCCAGAGGGAGCGUCGAGAGAUGUUGAGGCUGUUGCGGUACUUGUUGUUCCUCCAUUUUUGAUUUCGAAAGCAAGAACCCUAGUUCCAGUUCUGAGCUAGUCGGAGAAUCUAGCGGAGUUUUUCCUGACACGAGAAUCCCAGAUUCAACAAGAGAAUGAAACAGAGGCUAAGCCGCACGAUGUUGCAAGAGAAUUCCAAAGAACGGAGAAGACGAAGACAGAGCGCUUGAGAGAAAAAAAGCUGGUCGGAGGCGAGUGAAUUUGUGGUGAAGGAGUGAAUAGUUCGCCUCCAUUAUAUUGAGGGUGGGUUAACGCGUAGAUCAGAUGACGGUGGAGAUUCGCUGGCAACGGCUCUAUUUCUGACCGGCUCUAUUUCUGACCGUUGCCGGCUCUAUUUCUGACCGUUGCCGGCACGCGGCUUGGAAGCUUCCUUCUUUCUUCCUGGACGCUGUUAGCCUUGAAGUUUCAAUGUGUUAAGUGAAUUUUUUAUUAUUUUUAAUUUAAGAAAUUUUAAAGGAAGUUGAAGAAGAAGACGUUAACCUUUUUUUAUUUUUAUUUUCAAAGCAAUUUUGGGCCCAAACCCAUUUUAGUCCAAAAGCUAACCAUUAAGUGGGCCUUGGCUACAUUUUUUCAGUAGACUAAAACGGGCUUUUGAAUUCCAGCGAGCGAGUCCGAGAAGGAAAAGGAUUCCAAGCUGCUAUUGGUUUCCUUGCUUCCCAAGGACUCCGGUAAGCAAAAAACCCCCACCUUAUUCUCCCUAUAAAUCAACAGUAAUAUCCAUUGUUGCAGCAUCAUCAACACCAGAAACUUUCUUCAUAAUCUUUUUGGCUAAGAAGUGAAGAGAAUGAUGAGAUCAUUAGAGGUAGAAUGCAGCAGAGAGAGAGUGGCCGACCUAGUGAAACUGUUAAUUAGGUAUCAGGCUUCUUACGCUUUAAUUCCCAGACCAGGAGGAGGAGAAACCAAGAGGAGAAUACCGGUUGAUCAACUCAAGAGAGUCGCUGAGCAGCUUGUGUUGGACAAGACACACCAUCAUCAUCAUGGUAGCAACACACAAGGCCCUCUGAAGACUAUGCUCGACAGCGACUUAAUCGAAUUAAUUGUUCGAAGAGCAUCAAAAGCAUGGGAAAGAGUGUUGCUUCCCAACAUCAGCAAGCGAGAAAAAGAAGAAGAAGCAGAGGAAGUGUACUCCAGCACCGUCAACACUCCCAAUCCAGAAAUUUCCAUUCUUUAAUUAAUUCCUUCGUCUAUCCAUUACUGUAAUGUAAUACUCAGCAUAUCAAAAUCAAAUACCAACAAAAAAAUUGUUCCAAGAUUUCAAAUGUGUUAACAUAUAUAAUUACAUUAUCACCAAGACAAGUAGGUAGCACGUCUGAUACAUAGUUUGCAGAAAGUAAAACAUUGACAUAUAUAAUUGACCAAGGAUAAACCGUAUUCAGCCAUCUUACUUACUGUUCAUAAAAGGAGGCUAUGUCUCCAUAACUCCUAAUAUAUCUUCUUCCGUAGAAACUAGCAAUAUGAUGAGGGUUUUUUCAUGUCAGAACUUGCCGGUUUCGGAAAGUAUCCUCUCCAUCUCCUCGAGCAGAUGUUCUUUCUCUUCUGUCAACGCCUCGUUCUGUUUCUGGAGAUCCUCGAUCUGCUUAGUCUGUUCAGAAUCCUUUCUGGUAUAUAUGUUUACAGCCACACUAAGUUGGUUAUAAACAGCAGCAAGCAACCCAUAUAUAUUUCCAGAUUUGAAUAUUGUGUUUCUUUCAGUCUUACCGGUUCAUGAAAGACAAGUUGAGUUUGAGUGAUCUGACUUCCUUCUCCAAAAGCUCACACCUUUUGGUCGCUGACGGCAUAUCUGAUGGAAUUGCAGGUGUCGAACUCCUCUCCUUCGCUUCUGCCAUCCUACCAUUCGCAGACAAAAUCAUCAACAACAAUACAACCCUACAAGAGCUGAUCAAAUGAAACAAUACAAAAAAUGAAUAGGCCAAGUGAAAUUAAAGUUACUUCCGAGAGCGUUCCACCCUGCGCUUCUUCGUCGGGUCUCCAGUUUCCACUGCACAUAACUCAAAGAGAAUUUGAAUUCCAGCGAGCGAGUCCGAGAAGAAAAAGAAUUGAAAAGAAUACUUCUGAAUUGUACCAAUUUUCUUAGUAGACUCGACUGAACAACCAACAAUUUCGGGUUUGUACAAAUAACGUCUAAAUAGAUAAAUAGCUGCAGAGAUAAUAAAAUCAAGGGGUACUGUAGGUACAAAAAGUUCGGUUCUUGAUACAAAGGAACGACCGGAAGCCAUGUUUGUUGCAGUGGACAUGGAAGCAAAAGGCUGGUCCUUUAUCCAAAGUUUUCAUGACAUCCAACACUUACAUAUGCCAUCACAACAAAUACAUUAUUCACAAAAAGCAUUCCUUUUUUCCAGGCUUCCAAUACUUUUUACUACUCAACAAAACCAUCACUGUCAACUUCAUGGCGAGUUUCCAGGUGAUGUAGUACUCAGACAUGCCUCUCUUCCAAUGCACCAUACUCAACUCCGGCUAGGUGUGUCAUUUGCAGACGAGCUUGAUUUUGGUUCGCUAUAGCAAAAUUCCCAAUCCGAAAUCGAAUUGCUGGCAUCUGAAUACCGCAACUUCCCUCCUUCCACCUUAUUCAUCUCAUCAAACUCUCCAUGAUGCAGUUUCAUACCAUGAACACCGGCUGACAUAUUAAACACCCCCUUAAUAACAUGAGCAGCUGCUGGUGAAUUUGGAUUACUCAGAACUUCCUCUUGUAGAAUGUCACCUAUCCUUGUCAAUAUGCUGCAUGCCAAGUUUCCCAAAACCCGGGAGUAUGCUUCCAAGAUUGCAUGUCCUACAUCCUGCAAAGGUUUAACAAUAAUACUAUCAAACUUUUGUUUCAAGCCUUAGCCUAAUUCAAGUGAAAGGAAAUGCUAUAUAUGUACCUUGCCAUAGUGGAUUUUGGUAGCAUCAAGAAAUGUUUGAGGAAGGUUUGGAUGGGUUGCCUUAAGUUGCUGGACCAUCGCUUCAGCUUUGUCUACAAGACCCUCAACCUUAUCAAGUUCAGAAAUGGGGUCCUUGGCAAAAGUCCAAGAUGUUCUCAUUGGGGAUUUCUUUCCACAUUGUGAUGCUUUGAUUCUCUCUUUCCAUCCUAAUAUUGCUGCUUCCAACUUGUUCACUACUUCCAUCACUCUAUGCUCAGAUUUUAGAUUCAGAGAAUCAAUUAUCUCAUCGAUUGUGGCUGAAUCCAUUGUUAGUAACUUGUACAGUUCCUCCCCAAGAUUCUCCCUUCCAGACUGCAAUCACAGCAAAGAGUGAAUUCCCUUUAGAAAAAGUAUGUGAUGAGAGUGUAAUGAUUUUAUGAUUUUACCGUGGGAAGUGCAUCUUUGAUUAUGGUUGGGACAUGCAUUUCAAGCAGAACACUAUCAUUGAUGGCUUUGGCAGCUUUAAAUACUUGGUAAACAACCCUGGAUUUCUGGACCAGCUUCUUCCUUUCCGAAUCGGAGAGCCCGGCUGUUGGAACUUGCGGAAGCGGAAGCCACCAUCUCUUGCUCAGCCUUGUGCUCUUGUUUCUUCCUUCAGCUCUGCUCCCAACCUCUGAGUACCAAAACUCAUUCUUCACCAUUGAAUCCAAUAUCUCCUGUCAAGUGUUUCAAAGUGAGCAACACGAUAAAUGUCAAAACGAUUAGACCGGAAAGUGCAAACAAUGUAAGAGAUCAGAUCACCUACGAUUAGCAUCGAGUCCAACUUCUUAAGUGCAGGAAGAUUCAUGAGGAUGUCUGCACGGGCUCUCGGUGUCAUUAUCUGCUUCAAUAUUCGAAACAUCAAAUUCCACACUCCACACCCAAAGUUGAAGAAAAGAGACAUCAUUUUUCGAAACCCUUGAAGAGGGAAAUGAGAAAGCUUACCUCCAUUGUCCUGCCAUUGGCACCAUGUUGUUUAGCAGGAACCAACUCAACCAUAUAAUUGGUGGGAGAAAGUAACCACUCCAUCUCCCUUCUCCACUUGUUCUUCCUCUCUUCAGGCAAUGGCUCCAAUUUCCAUAGCUCCCCAAACACAGAUGCUAAUUAAAGACAUUCAAAUUCAAUCACUUACACCAAAGUUCAAAACUUUUUAAGCAAGAGAUCGAAAGUGAAUCUUACCUGCAAGACUUGUUACACCAUUGGACAAUGCUAAAGCUGCAGUGAGUCCCUUAGUCCCACCUGUGACAUCUUCACCCAACAACAGCUUUGCAAACUUCUCCUUCAUCGUCUCAACAUCUGAGAGCUCAACUCCAUAAGACGGCUUCUCUUUGGCGUAAAAGUGUUGUGGGCUUUCCGGGAUGUCCCAGCAGCAGUCAUCAAAGCUCUGAUCAUCUCUUUUCACAUUCAUCCAUUUAGAAGAAAAAGACCCAAACGCAUCCUUGCUCGAUGAACAGCUCGACGCACAUUCAUCAAACGAAUCGCUAACGAAUCCGUCCCCUCUACUAGUCCCACUCUCAUUCUCAAAAGACUGAUUAUUAUUAUUGUUCUGGAUACAACUCUCCAGUCCAUCAUACGUAAUUACCCCUGAACAUGGCACAAAAUGGACAUCAUCAGUCCCACAGAUGAAUUAACGACGGCAUUAAUGUUUAAAAGAUCAGUAUCAGCUGAGUUCUAUGACCAGAUGGUUAGAUGGAUAGGAAAGUGUUGAAUGGUCCAAGCAACUUUCCACAUUGAAUGGGGUUUAGGAUUUAGAGAAAUGGGAAGAAAGGAAUCACAGGACCACACAGCAAGAAGUAAAUGCCAGGGAAAAUGAAGGACUGAAGGAGUAAGGGACAAAAGGAUAUCACCAAAACCAAAACUGGAGAGUGUUUGUCUGGCAGGGAAUAUGCAUGUGGCUUCAACAUGACUCUGAUCUGAUCCAAAAUGGUAAGUGGACUGACGGAUGGAAAUUAACCCUCCACAUGCAGUGCCAAAACACACAAACAUUAUUCUAAACAAACCAGUAACCAUUCUGAUCUAAACACGGGUAAGAUUGUUAACGAUCAUAAGGAACUAUGUACUGAUUUCGAUCGAAUUCUUCAGUAUGAAAGUGACAUAUCUCUCAGGGGUAAUCAAUUGAAUUUCUCUGUACUUGUCCUAUUCUGGAGGGCACACAACGUCAUGAAAUGAUAUAUAUUAUUUUGUACUAGUACUGCACCGCAAAUUAUGGUUCCCAAGGAAAAAGAAAGGUAUGAAUCAUGUUAGGCUUGUUUAUUUAAUUUAUUAGAGAUCAACCAUGGACCCUGCUUGAAAGGAAAGGAAGAUCAACCACGAACAAACAACUCAGACAGUCGGAAGUUGCAGACCAUUUAAUUAUUAAACUAGUCUAUAUGAAAAUAUUUUAACAAAAUUAAAGCAAAAAAGUGCCAUGUGGGCAUUUAGCUGCAGGACUCGUCACUCCUCCAAGCUAAACAAACAACAGUAGCUCAACAGAGAAAAGAAUGGUCAAAGUUAUGGAAGCAUGGCAAGGAAGAAGGAUGGAUGUCUAGGUCUGGUCUGGGUUGAGUCCAGAAAUUUAAGAGACACCAUCAAAUACAAACCUCCUUCUGUGUAGAGAAUUAAAUGCGGUGGGAAGAAACAGAUCCACGCCGAUGGUAUUCACUGUUUCCGCAGAGCAGGAAGAUAGACCCAUUAUUUAAUGGCUAACAGCAUUCACCAUACGGCAUUGAUUGUUUUUUCCUUCACAACACAAUCCGUCAAGGAAAUGAUUUUUUUUUGAGUUAAAGCAUACGCAAAACCUAUUUAAGACGUGUGUAUUUUAGGGAGGUUGUUAAUUGCUAUGUGUUAGGUUAGGUAUGGCACUUUGGGGGUGAAGUUUUAGUAACGACAAAAACAGAGAGAAAAGCUGAGCUCGUGGGAUGCCAGCCUCUCUUUGCAUGCAGAGACCUUAAAUAAAAAGAGUAACCCAAUUCAUGUUUAUUAAGGAAAAAUUUAUUACUGGGAAGAGAGAAGAAGAUGGACUUACUGUCAUCUUGUUCAAAGUCGAAGCUGAUUCCUCUGUCGCGGGUGCAGCAAGCGAGUUUGCUUCUCAUCAUCAUUCUUCUUCUUCAGUUCUUCUUCUUCUUCUUCUUCUCCGGCCACCUGGGAUUAGUAAUUGCUUAUGUAGUUAGCUAGCUUGGAAAUGGCGGAAAUGGAAACUUCUUAUUUCUCUGUGUUUUUGUUUCACAUGGGUUGCUGCUUGCUUUGUUAAAACAGAGAGAGAGAGACAAAAAAACCAGGUAAUGGGCGAGAGAUGGUCCUCUCCCGCAAAAAAAUAGGCUCCCCACUCACACGAUUCUCAACGGGGGGAAGAAAGGCGCUUUAGCCAAAAGGUGAGUGAUGUUUUGGAAAGAAAUAUUGAAGUAAGGAUCAUAGGGAGAAAGGGCAGGAUUGAGACCUGUGAUUUGUGAGCAGAGCUUCAAAACGAAGAAGAAGGAGAAGAAGAAGAGAAUUAUGUCAACUGUUUUUGAGAUAUGAAAUAAAAAAUGCAGACUGCAAAACAGAGAGAGGGUUUGUUUGUUUGUUUGCUUGUUACUUAGUAGUGGUGCGGUGUCAGAGGAGGGAAAAGAAAAGAAGAGGAUUGGAUCGGGAGGGAGAAGGGGAAGUUGGAGGAGAAGGAGAAUAAAUAAAGAGGAGAAGGAGAAGAUGGCAAUCGAUUCAUUUAUUAUUUGACUCAGAGUAAGACACAGAGCUCCCAUGACUCACUCACUAACCUGGCCCCAACCUUGACUAGAGCUGUUAACUUAAACCGUCGUUGAUUAGGUUAGUCUGGUUAUAGAUUAGUCGAAUUGUGGGUUUAGUCAAGUUAUUAGUGUUAGUAUACGUAUAAGCUACGUAUUGGGCUGGUUGUCUUAUUAGCAUUCGGCCCAUAUUGUAUUUCUUUGUGGUAUAUAUGUUCACAGUUUAACCCUCUAGUGAACACAUACCUUUGUUGUCGUCUUCCUUCAAUCCUAAUGAGAACUUCUUCUUUCCCGUGGAUUAGUCGAUCAUUCUAAUCGGAAAUCACGUAAAUAUGUCUUGUUCAAUCCCUUCUUGCAUCGAUUAUUAUGGUAUCAGAGCCCCUGCACUCUUGAUCGUUGGCCUCGUUGUUUCGAAUCGUGGUGUGGAUCUUCUCGAUUUGUGUUUUCAGCUUCGGGUUCUGUCAGAAUUUUUCUCUCGUACUCUUCUUCUGUCCUCGUCUUCGAUCUUCGAGCAUGACUUCUGAAUGGGGAGAUGGGGUUUCUAUUCGAUUUACAGGUCGGAAUUUUUCAAUAUGGGAGUAUAGCUUUCACGUUUUCGUACAAGGAAAAGGCUUGCUUGCUUGCUUACUUGGAUGGUACCAAGAAACAACCUGCUUCUUCAACCACCAAUGCCAUCGAAAUUGAGACCUGGAAUACUAACAAUGUUUGGGUCAUGUCCUGGUUGAUCAGAGCUAUUGAUCAACCAAUCACUCUUACUUUUCGUUUGUUUACCACUGUUGCUGAAGUUUGGGCUCACUUGAAACAAGUUUAUACGCAAGUGAGUACCGUUCGUUUGUUUGACCUGGAAUAUGAAUUAUCGAACUUGUCACAAGGUGAGCUGGAUAUCAAUCAAUAUUAUAUGGCUACUUCAUGCAUUUGGACUGAAUUGGAUAUCUUAGCUGCUGCUUCGAAAUUUUCCGCAGCUGUUGAAGCUGCAGUUCUCAAAGAACGCAAGAAGACUCGUCUUCUUCAAUUUCUCAUGAAACUUCGGCAUAUGAGGGAGUUCGUGCUCAGCUACUAUCUAAGGAUGACCUUACCAUUACCCAAGUUCUCGGUGAGUUAUCCCGUGUUGAAAUUCGUCUUCGUACGCAAACCGAUCUUGACUCUACCGUCCCUGCCAUGGAAUCUGCUUUUGCCGUUAAGGGGUUUAGGCAUCAAUUUGGUCACUCUUCUCAAUCAAAGGGAUUUAGUCACACUUCUUCUGGUCAAACUAAUGCUGGUUCGACUCAUUCAAAGUUUUUUUAUUCUUCCUCGUUUAAGUGUACACAUUGUGGUGUUCUCGGCCACUCAAUUUCUCAUUGUAGGACACGCAAUAUUUGCACUUAUUGUAAGAAGCCUGGCCACAUCAUUUUGGAUUGUAAGGUUCGUCAUCCACGUGGAAAUUUUGGCCCCAAUACCAACUCUUAUGUCGUCAUGCCCGUUGCAAUUACUUCCGACUCGCCAGCUGUUCAAGAGGCCUCUAUUAAUCGAAUGGUUCAAACUACACUUGGUCGUUAUAUUCCUUCCGCUCUCAAUGCCGCCUUUGCUUCUGUUGGGUUGACAGGCACCUCGUCUUCUUGGUUACUUGAUUCUGCUGCCUUCAAUCAUAUGUCCCGUAAUCGAUCGGCUUUUCAAAAUUAUCUUCCUGUUAAAUCUUCUAUGGUGGAAGUUGCGAAUGGUAGUAAGUUGCCCAUCGCUGGCAUUGGGAUAGUUCGAACUCAAAACAUGACCUUGCCUUGUACUCUUCAUAUUCCUGCUCUGAUUCCCAAUCUUGUUUCUGUUGGUCAAUUAACUGACGCUGGGUGUAUUGUCUCGUUUGGUCCGGAUGAGUGUGUUGUGCAUAUCAAAUGAGUCUGUGCCCACUAGGGAAGGGAACCUAGCAUGGGAGGAUGUUUAGCUUAGAUGGUUUUCAAGUUCCCGACCUGCCUAUUGGUGGAGUGAAUUCAGGUGGAGUGAAUUCAGGUGGAGCGAAUUCAAGUAGUUUCUGCAGGUCAAAUGUUUUGAGUUCUAGUAGUAGUUUUUCAUUCAGUUGUCAAAAACAAAGUUGUUUUGGGCUUUGUGGCAUUCUAGACUUGGUCAUCCUCAUUCUGCUCGUUUGAAGUAUAUGUUUCAGAAAUAGCUUUUUCGAAUUUUGAGACUCCACAUCGUAUUCCAUGUGUUGAAGCUAAACUUACUGCAUCUUCAUUUCCUAUGAGUACUACGGCUAUUCCGACAGCGUUUGAUCUCAUCCAUACUGAUUUAUGGGGUCUUGCUCCAAUUACAUCUCGUUUGGGAUAUCGUUACUUUGCGUUAUUUGUUGAACAUCAUACCCGGUUUGCUUGGAUAUAUUUUCUUAGGUUGAAAUAUGAAUUAUGCCAAGUUGCCAAAUCCUUCAUACAGAUGAUACAGACUCAAUUUGGGAAAACAAUCAAGAUGAUUCAGUCCGAUCCAGGGGGAAUUUACCUCUCACGCAUUACAUGAUUUUUAUCAGCAGAAAGGAAUUUUAUUUCAGUUAUCUUGUCUUGGGGUUUCUGAACAAAACGGUCUCGUGGAAUGUAAACAUUGCCAUGUCUUGACCUAACUCGAGCUUUUCUCCUGCAGUCUGUUGUUCCUAAUUCUUUUUGGGUUGAAACAGUUCAGUCUGUAGUAUAUCUAAUUAAUCGCCAGCCUACUACCAUUCUGGAGAAUGCUACUCCUUUUGAAUGUCUAUAUGGUCGACCUCUUGACUACUCUAAGCUACAGGUGUUCGGAUAUGUGUGCUUUGUACUCCUUCCAAAGCAGGCUCGUACCAAGUUGUUUGCCAAGACCAGUAGAUGUGUUUUUGUUGGGUAUUCUAAUCAUCACAAGGCUUAUUAAUGUUACGAUCCUGUUCAACGUCAUCUACAUAUUGCGUUUCUAGAGCACGUGUUCUAAUAUAAGUGUGACGUCUCAGCUGGAUCUUCGCUCCUAUAUCUCUUCCUCAUUUUGAUCCUAUUGCAGAAGAAAAGGAUAUUGAGGAUAUUGAUCCUCCUAAUGAUCACCAUGAGGCUAAUUUUCAGCAUGAUGUGGUUCCUCCCACCGUGAAACCUCCUUCUCUUACUCAUCCUCCUCGCCAGUCUUCUCGAAGUAUUAAAGGUAUACUUCCUUCUCGGUAUCAAGACUAUGUCACAUUUGUCGUUGCCCCUAUUAAAAUCCCAACAAGCUAUCGGCAGGCUUGUUUGGAUCCUAAUUGGUGUAAGGCCAUGGAUGAAGGGAAAGUUGCACUCAUCGAGAAUCAAACUUUUGACAUUGUUCCUCGUCCUAUCGAUGCUCUUAUCCUUGGUUCUUGUUGGGUAUUUAUAGGUAAGUUUAAUCUAGAUGGAUCUCUAGAGCGCUAUAAAGCUCGCUUUGUGGCUCAAGGAUGUCGCCAAGAGUAUGAGAUUAAUUAUGAUGAAACCUUUACGCCGGUUGUGAAGAUGCAAACUGUUCGCAUUCUCAUGACGUUGGCAGCUCAACGUGAUUGGUUGUUACUUCAAUUGGACGUAAAAAUGCUUUCUUGCAUGGACAUUUGAAGGAAAUUGUUUACGUUGAAUGUCUUCCCGGAUAUGAUAAAGGUGACCAGGAUGUUGUAUGUCUUCUAAAACGGUCUCUUUAUGGCCUCAAACAAGCUACACGUGCUUGGUUUGAAACUUUUUAGAAGAUUAUUCUCUCUUCUGGCUUCCUAUAGAGCAACAAUGACCCUUUUUUAUUCACCAAGAAAUCAGUGUGUAGCAUUACCAUCUUGCUCGUUUAUGUUGACGAUAUGAUUUUUAUUGGAGAUGAUUCGGUGGGCAUAGUUGAGAUUCGUUCUAUCCUGCAUACUCAUUUCAAGCUAAAGGGGUUGGGUGACUUGUCUUGUUUCUUAGGAAUUGAGGUAUCUUGCUCCUCCAAUGGGAUUCUUUUGAGCCAUCGAAAGUAUAUUUCCUAUUUUCUUGAACUUGCUCAUCAUAAAAAUUGUAAGCCAUGUAGUACUCCUAUGUUGUUGAACCCUAAGUUAAGCAAACACGAUGAAGGACCAGUCGAUAAUCUAUCUCACUUCCACUCAUCUUGAUUUACCAUAUGUUGUCCAAGUGGCGAGUCAAUUCAUGGGUAGCCCUCGUCACUCUCAUCAGGCUGCGGUUUUUCGGAUCCUUCGGUAUUUACAGAGUACGAAGAAGCACGGUAUAUUCUUUCCAGCUUCGUCAUCUUCUUAGUUGGCUGCCUUUGCGGAUGCAGAUCACGCGGGUUGUGUUGAUACGCGUAGCUCUACUUCAGGGUGGUGUGUCAAGUAUGGCGAUGCUUUUAUCUCGUGGCAUUGUAAGAAACAUGAUCGUGUCUCUAAGUCAUCUACAGAGGCAAAGUAUCGAUCGAUGUCUGAUGUAUGUUAUCAAGUUGUGUGGGUUCAUGGUUUUCUGACUGAACUUGGUGCGACUAUGCCUCUUCCUAUCAAGUUGUUUGGUGAUAAUACAAGUGCAAUUUAGAUUGCAACCAAUCCGGUUCUCCAUGAUCGCACAAAGCAUAUCGAGACUCAUGUACACUAAAUUCGGAAUCUUGUUAAUGAUUGUUUGGUCAAAUUGUACUACCUGACCUCUGAAGAUCAACUGACAGACUUGUUAACUAAACCUCUGGCCACUAGUCGACAAUGGUUUCUGUCUGCCAAAUUGAUGUUGCGUAGUCACCAUCAAUUUGUCACCACUGCUGGAAUUUUACAAGUGGAGUUUCAACGUCGGCAUCGGAAACUCACUAGUGGAAUUUCCGUACCGGUGCAGAAUUUACCGAUUGUUAAAAAGUUUUGUGACCGCUCUCAAAAUUUGACCGGUAUACUUUCGCUCUUGAAAAACAGCAGUUAGAGUAAAGUUGUAGAAAUUUUACUGUCAAAAUUCCACCUUUGAAAAAUCUAUCCCCAAAGCCAAAUACACGUUUUGAAAUACACAAAAUAACUUAAUAUCCAAAUUCAUGGUUUCAAAUUGAAGAGAAUUUUCAUGUAUUAUCCAAACACACGUACCCUAAGUUCAAAUCUAAAGAUAAAAAAAAUGCUCUUUCUCAUAAUUCUUUCCCCUGUCCUUUACAUAUGUCAAAAGGAAAUUGAAGACUGACAAGUGGGGGAAAAGGAGGAAGUGUGCAGAGAAUAAAUAAAGUCGCUGAUUUGAUUUGAUUUGAUAGGCAAGCUUAGCUCCCCCUAUCCAAUUUUUCUUCGGUGCUGAAUCUGUAUUUGUAAAAAAUUGUCGACCAUUUGAUUUAAUGGUUGAAAAUAAAUUUUGCAGAUCUAAUAAUUAAUANNNNNNNNNNNNNNNNNNNNNNNNNNNNNNNNNNNNNNNNNNNNNNNNNNNNNNNNNNNNNNNNNNNNNNNNNNNNNNNNNNNNNNNNNNNNNNNNNNNNNNNNNNNNNNNNNNNNNNNNNNNNNNNNNNNNNNNNNNNNNNNNNNNNNNNNNNNNNNNNNNNNNNNNNNNNNNNNNNNNNNNNNNNNNNNNNNNNNNNNNNNNNNNNNNNNNNNNNNNNNNNNNNNNNNNNNNNNNNNNNNNNNNNNNNNNNNNNNNNNNNNNNNNNNNNNNNNNNNNNNNNNNNNNNNNNNNNNNNNNNNNNNNNNNNNNNNNNNNNNNNNNNNNNNNNNNNNNNNNNNNNNNNNNNNNNNNNNNNNNNNNNNNNNNNNNNNNNNNNNNNNNNNNNNNNNNNNNNNNNNNNNNNNNNNNNNNNNNNNNNNNNNNNNNNNNNNNNNNNNNNNNNNNNNNNNNNNNNNNNNNNNNNNNNNNNNNNNNNNNNNNNNNNNNNNNNNNNNNNNNNNNNNNNNNNNNNNNNNNNNNNNNNNNNNNNNNNNNNNNNNNNNNNNNNNNNNNNNNNNNNNNNNNNNNNNNNNNGAACAAUAAAGAAAAAGAGAAUAGGGACUUAAAUUCUGUAAUGUGCUUUCUCUGGUGUUCUUCUCCCAAAUGUGGACUUCCCCAUAUAUCAAAUUCAAACUUAUUGUUAAUUUAUUAAAAAUAAAAAUUAUAAAUUUAGUUUAAAAAAUCCAAAUAUAAUACCAAAAAACUCAUUGGUGUCCCAUCUAAUUAUAUUUUUACUAAAAACAAUAUAAUAAUUGCUUUUUAUAUUUAAAUUAGUAUUACGUUUUAAAAAUAUAUCCAUUAAUUANNNNNNNNNNNNNNNNNNNNNNNNNNNNNNNNNNNNNNNNNNNNNNNNNNNNNNNNNNNNNNNNNNNNNNNNNNNNNNNNNNNNNNNNNNNNNNNNNNNNNNNNNNNNNNNNNNNNNNNNNNNNNNNNNNNNNNNNNNNNNNNNNNNNNNNNNNNNNNNNNNGAUAGAUUUCGUUCCAUCCCCAUACCCACCCGGUUACGGUUAUAACCGCUCCUCUUAACGGUUAACCACCGAUAUGCAAGAAAAAAAAAGGAAUGAAAAGUUGAAAAUGCAUACACAUUCAUUCAUCCGAAAAUUUUUCAAAUCUAAUUCCAAACAAUAGUAACAAUAGCAUUCUAGAACACUAAAAGCACUUGUGACUUGUUCUUGAGAUCAAAAUACAACCCAAAACUAGCAAGGGGGGAGGAUCGAACCAUUUAAGCAAUACUAUAAAACAUGAAUCUCAAAAUCUUAAGUACUGAAACACUAAACAAAAUGAAACUGAUAAUUGAAAUAGAACAAUCGUUCCCUCUUCAUAUAUAACUAGUCUGAAUCUGAUUAAUGAUUUUUUUUAUGAAUGAUGGUUGAUGGAUGAAUUUAUGUUUUGCGAUUUUGAAAGACAGAGUUAAGAGAUAAGGUUUCUUGAAAUUAAAAGCAAAAGUAUUGCAUUGGGACAUAGGGUUAAAAUGUAAGUGGGUUGGGACAGUCAAAUGGUAUUGGGCUUUAUUGCUUUAAUAAUAUACUGGUAAAUAGAGGGUAAAUUACGGGUUGGGGAUGGUUAUGGGUAUGGUUACGGUGAUGGUGCAGUUAUUUUGAAACCCAUAACCUAACCUUACCCAUUCGUAGCGGUUAACGGUUAUAACCAUAACCACAAAAUACCCAGUCAACGCGGUUAAUAACCGUCAAACUCGGUGAGGAUACGGUCGGUUGAACAGUUGAACGGUCAGAAUUGCCAACCCUAGCUAUAUAUAUGCGUUUAAGUAGUCGAAACAUACGAAGUGGAGAAUUAUUGCGGUAUGUAAUGUAAGAGCCAGCCAGCGACGUAUGGUCUCCGCCGUUGAGAGGCACAGUUUUCAGUUCAGAGAGACUCCUCAGUCCUCAGUCCUCACCCCACCCAUCUGGAUUAGAGCUCCAUAAUUAGCUAGAUAGAAGACAGAUCCCUUUAUUUACAAUAAUAAUAAUUUAAUUAAAUCAUGACACACCACCAAGUUUUAACAUUUCUUCUUGUCCCCCUCCCGCUCCUUGUAAACAUUUAAACUAGAUAGAUCGAUUGAUUUUAAACUCUCGGGGUAGGAGGAGGUUGAAUCAACCGUCAAUCUCAUUGUUUGAUGGAAUUAUUAACGGAAAAUGUAACCGAAAAAUAUGAUCGGUUAACUAACUGUAAUAUAUAUAUAUAUAUNNNNNNUAUAUAUAUUGGACUCUUUGGUGCACCGGAUGCACCAAGUACUCCCUUUUUCUGAAAAAGAUUUGGACUACAGGUUUUACUGAUCAAAUCUCAUCCAUCCUUCUUCUUUUUUUUUUUGAAAAAAAAAAUACAAAAUAAGCACCGUAAUUAAAUCCAGUAAACAUGAGGUAUUUGUUUUUCAUUUCCUUUCAUGUUUGUAUAUGGACAUGAUAUACGAAUCUUUAACAUCAUAAGAUUUAUAUUGCACUGACGAAUCAUUACAACUUGUUGAUUUGAAUGUAUUAUAAAGUAUUGAUGGAUGAUCCUAACGUCAUGCACUGUUAUUUCAUUUGAACGUUUAGUAUCAUAUAUCACACCCAAAUUGCACUCAUCUUUGGUCUACCUCUCAUGGCGCACAGUUCUUCUCCAAUCGGAAGAAGAAGUUCAUAAUCUUCAUCGACGGAAGUUUUACGCGUAAUCGUAUCCAUGGUUUCUCAUAAACCUUGGAGAAUGGGAAUUAUGUGUUUAAAAUCGGCGAGAGGGAUACGACGAUGGUUAGUCCAGGGUUGUCGACGUAUUCCGAUUAUCCGGAAUCGUGAGGGGAAGUCGCUGAUCUAGUUUGCGAAGGAGAGGGAUCUGAGGGAGAUGUGAAGGGAUUCCAAAAUUCGUUUUAUGGCUAUUGCUUGGAUGAGGCUGCCGGAAAGUGAUGUUUAAGGAUGAGAUUGACGAAGAGCCGUUGGGCUAAUUCACGAUUAGAGUUGUGGCAACUGUGACAAAGAAACAUCCCAAAGAUUUGAAUGAACUCUCAUAUAAAAACUAGAUUUUCUCAGGUUUCAGUGAUAAAAUUCAGAGAAGCGUUUUGUAACUUAUCAGCCCCUAACAUGAAGCUUUCUGGGAAAAGUAAGCGUUUUGUAUGGACUUGAAUCUCAGUACGAAAUCGUUCACAAAAACAAAGUGUAUUGAGGGGUUUAGUUACUUUCAGAUAAUGUUAUUGAGGGACAUUUAUGUGUAAGCAAAUAACAUGACAACCAUUUCUGUAAUGUUUCAAGUUGGUGCAUUGGUAUCCUGUUCCAGGGGCUGUGGCACGUAGAGUAUGUAAGAUGGACGGCAAAGCAAACUAAGCAAAUAAAAUGAGUUGCAAGCAACAGUUCAUUCUCUACGAAGAGAUAUACAACUAUAAUAUUUUUUUGCAGGUCUUUUCCUUUUGUUAAGGCAUCCACUUAAGGUUGCAGUAGUUAAGAGGCCCAGUCAUCCACACUGCACGUUUGUCCCUAGUUCCGGUGUACUUCGCCUCCCCGAUCUGGGCUUAUUUAAUUAGCAAGCAUGUUAUCAGUAAGUUUCAUGCUGUAGCCCACCGAGUAUUCAGUUAUGAAAUGCAAAAGAGGACUCAUUUUUCAUCCCUUUCAAUGUUCACCUAUCAAAUUUUCACAAAAAACACUAUGCGCACAAAUCUUGAACAACUAUUAGUUCUAGGACAUAGGGUUCAAAGACUCUUGGAUAUGCUUGAUCAAUUCCCAGUAAAACCAACCCUUCCACAUUACAAAUCACCAACCCAACUGCACCUCCAAGCGGUUUAAUCAUUGCGCCGUCAACAUUAAAUGUUUGUCCGAAACGCCGUCACACCACUUCUACCAGGCUGUAUCUAAAAGUUUUAAUCUUUGUCUUUUGUAAAUCCAAACUCAUCUCAUCUCACCCAUUUUAAGUUUUUUCAAUGAUAUUAAAUUUAAUUUGACCGGACUAAUGCGGGCUAAAUUACAUAAUCGCAAUCGAUUCCCACACUACUUACAACCGUUUGAGACCUCAUCUUAGUCACCAAAAAAAUUAAAGGUUUGAGACUUCAUCUAUUUUCUUCCAAGAUUUAAACCCUCUCCAUUGUUUCUCACUUAACCAAUUCUUUCUAUGAGAGAUUGAAUAGCUCCUUGUAUGUACAUCGAAUAUGAAUGUUGGGUUGCCAUCAUGAUAUACCACAUCGCUAAGAUAAAUAAAGGGAUGAAUACAUCUAGAUUAUAAAUAUAUUAUAGUGAGGUUUUCGAUACUUUUAAUUUAUUGAAUAUUUUCACUUUUAGAAUUUGAUCUUAACAGUUUAUUAUAAUUUGAUCAUAACCGUUUAUUAUAAGAUUAAAUUCCGAUCGUUCGGUAUUGUUAAUUUCUAAAAUUAAUUUAUUUCAUAAAACAAAUUCUUUAAAGGCCACUUGAUUUAAUUUCAAUUAAUAUACUGUAUGGUUUACUUUUUUCUUUAUAGUUUGAUAUUUCGUGUUAGUUUUUUUUAUAUAUGAACAUUUUAAUAUUAACAUUGCAUGGUUUAUUUUUAUCUUUAUAGUUUGAUAUUUCGUAUUGGUUUUUUUAUAUAUGAAUAUUUUAAUAUUAACAUUGCACUUACGAGUCACUUUAAAUUUGUAAUUUGAAGUACCCAGAUCCUAUGAGCUCCUACCACUCUAAAAACCUAUUCUAGGCUGACAAUAAACCAGCACACAACAGUAUAUGAAUCAAAUUAUACGGAAUCGUACACUUAAACUCCGCCGUCGUAAACCGAGCCUUAGUACGACUGCUCGAUCCAGGAGCUGUGAAUCCUAUAGCUGCUACCAUCCUCCAUGAGGAUCAGAACCGAGGUCAAAGACUCGAUCAGGACAGGAUCGAAGGUUCAUGUCAGAACCCUCUUUCAGUCUCGUCGACACCCUCCGGAGUCUGGAUGCGAGGGCACGUCGGAAUCGCCCAUGGUGUUGCUCACGUGGAAAAUAACCAAGGGAGGAACAUGUACAAAUUAGAGUUAGAAGCCGAAGAAUAGAUCAGAGAAAGAAGAAGGAAUUGAAGAAUAAAGGAAGGGCUUACAGUAGGUUUCCUUGCUUUCCGAUAAUCGACGGAGGAGGAGAGGCUUCAUCGAGCGACGCCAACCAAAGAAGGAGAUGGCGAUUGAUGAAGGGGCCGCGUCGUCGACUUCAUUGAGGAAGGAGAUGGUCGACAUUAAUGUGUCUUUUUCGGCCGGUGGGAUAUCCAAGUUCUGAACCAUAUUGAACAACAACAAUGAUAAUAACCCACAGAGAAGGCCAACCGGUCUUCAUAAUUCAUAUCACGAGGAUGUCAUUCACAGUAAGCCAACCACCAACUGCAACAGAACAUGCAACUACACAACCAUUGCUAUACUCAGGAAAUGCCAAUCUUUCAAAUGUAGAUAUCAAACCACCAAAUCCUAAAAGCUGGAAAUCCAUGUUCAUGGAUAACAAAGAACUGGAAAAUUAGAAUAAAAGACGAUGUGUAUCGUGUUUGAAACUUGGAAUGGGAAGCACCAAACCAGCAGGUUCACUAUGCAUGACGAACCUAUAAUUUGGAUGUGGAUUGCUAAGUAAUAUUUUGGAUGUAGACGAAUGGUUGAUUGAUGCUGAGUUAAUUGAGGGAAAGAUUCAAAACAAAAGACGAAUCAGUGGAUGAAGUUAGGUUAAUGAUGAAUAAUUGAUUUAACAAACCUAUUAGAAUGAUUAGUGAAUUUCUCGGAUUAAAGUUUAAUAUGGCAAGAUAAAAGUAAAUUAACAUUUGAUUUUGAUUAGAAUUAAGUUAAAUGAUCAUUUUGCAAUUUGAAUUUUGAAAUUAUUUCAAAUUCAAAAAUAAAAUUAUUAUUAGCCAUUGAAAUUACUGAUUCAAUGGUCCAAAUUAUCUUUACAAAAUUGGGAGAAUUUUCCAUAAUAUAUAUAUAUAUAUAUGGGGGAUAGAUAAACAAUUUAGUAACAGAGGAGGCCAAUCGCCAUGGCCAGUAAAGUAUAAGGGCCAAAAUGACCAUCUUCCAUCAAACUUAUUUGUUUGUUUUAUUUUUUCCGCUCCGGUAUUUUUUUAAAUUUUUAUUUCUCAUUUAACACAUCUAAUUAACUUCUGCACGGGACUCCACUCAUCGUCACCAAGAACGAUGACUCCACCACCAUUUUCGAUGUUGCGACUCUAGCCGAGCUCCACCACCGUGCAGACAAAUAAAUCACUCAAUCGCCGAGCUAGGAUAUCAAGGCAGGAGGGGUCGCAAUCGUGACCCUCAUCGCAACAUCCGCGGAUAACCAGAUGUAGGAGUAAAAAUUUUUAGAAAGGGUUAUUGACAGAUUUAGGUUGUGAGUCAAUUCUUAGACGGACCUCACCAAUCUCAUCAUGCACGCGGCUGUCUUUCGCAUCUUACAUUACUUGCACGGAUAAAAGAUCGUGGUCUCUUUUUCUCCUCGACAAUUUCCUUUCAUCUCUAAACAUUUACAGAUGUUUAAACUCUCCACGAUCUACUUCUAGGAUGUGUGUUCGGUUUGGAAAAUAUUUUAUUUCCUAGCAUUGUAAGAGCUAAAUAGGAUGUCAAAAGUCCUCUACUAAAGCCGCAUAUUGUUUCAUAUCCAAUUUUUGUUCUAAAAUUGUGUCUGAGUUCAAGAAAUGUUAGCUAACCUAAUUAAUCAUUCUAAUCAGAAACCACGUUAAAAUCUAUCGUUAUUAUCAUUCCUUUCUUCCCAUUCUCACACCUUAAUCUAUUUCCUCUUAUUUAACUCUAAAAAAUUAGGAAGUUAAUAAUAGUCUCGUGACUUAUAGUUACAUAGAUUGCCAAAAUGACCAAAAGAAAGAAACUAAAAUAGGAUGGAGGAGUAGGGGAAUCCAAAACAAACAAAUUAACACAACACAAGGAAUUGAUUGCUCUAAUUUGAUGUCAAACAAAAUUGCUACGACGAAAUCAUAAAAAUCAGGAUCUAGCAACAAUUCUGCGAUCUUGCCAGUUUGUUUCCUCAAUCGGUAUUUUAUUCCAUGUUUCCAGAGUUCCAUGCAUGUUAGCUCUCUCUCCUUGUCUCAGCAUUUCAUGCUCUAGCUGUUCAUUUUCUGUUUCUGUGUUCAUAUAUAGCAGAGCUCGUAUUUCCAUCGAAUCAAAUCAGGCUGGAGGGGGCUGUAGUUGUCGAGAUGGAAAGCAAAGAGACACAUGGGUCCGUUGGUGGUGCAAGCACCUCCUCCUCUUCCUCCUCCAAGAAAAAGCAAUCCAAGAGACCUAAAUGUAAUCAAAUCCUCUGGUUCGUCUUUCUUCAAUUCAACACUGUUCAUAAGACAUUCUUCAUUGAGUCAUGAAACUGCAGAUUCUAGGUUUUCGCAGCAGGAACUUCCGGCAUCUAAAUUCAUCAUAACACCAACGGUGGUACGAUCUUUGAUUGUAUUUCACGACUUUUAGCUACCCUUUUCCCUCCUCUUUGUUGGGUGUUCUUCUAAUUUGGCGAUUAAUAAAAAAGUAAAAAAAUAAUUCAGGUCAUUUCAACGUUUGUUGCAAUCGCCAUUGUGUUCAUCCCAUUCGGACUUGCUUCCUUAUUUGCAUCAGACCAUGUAAUAUCUUCAUCAAACAGAUUCUCUUAUUUCAACAUUACUUUUUUCAUCAAUGUACAAAGACUAAUUUUACUAUAUCCAUAGGUUGUCGAGAUAAUGCAUCGGUAUGAUAAUCUCUGUCUUCCUGAUACUUCAAAUGCUGUGAAACACAUCCAGAGCAAAGAGACCAACAAAACUUGCGCUGACAAAUUGACUGUUAGUCUCAGCUUCACUUUUUACCCAAAUGGUAAACAAUUUCGUUUCAACAAGAUCCCCUGUUCCUACAGAUUGUUUGUUGGAAUUUCUUUCCCAGGUCUCUAAGGAAAUGAAGGGUCCAAUCUUCAUAUAUUACCAGCUUGAUAAUUUCUAUCAGAAUCACCGCCGGUAAAUGUUAAACUUCACUCAGUGUGUACAUAUAUUAUCUGUGAAAUUUCUUGUAUCUGAGUCUUGCUUGUACAGGUAUGUGAAAAGUCGAAGCGACAAACAAUUGAAGAGCAAAGCAAGUGCGAAAGACACUGAAAGCUGUGCUCCUGAGGCUAACACUGACAAAGGCCCCAUUGUUCCUUGUGGGCUUGUUGCUUGGAGUCUUUUCAACGACACAUACAAAUUCGUUGUUAAGAACAAAGCUUUAGAUGUCAACAAGAAGAACAUCGCAUGGGAUAGCGACAAGAGCCACAAGUUUGGGUCCGAUGUAUACCCGCAGAAUUUUCAGAGUGGAGGCCUCAUUGGUGGUGGGAAACUAGAACCGAGCAAACCGGUGAGUGCAUCGUUCGAAUCCCACUCCGAGUGUUAGUUUUAUGACAUGGUAAAACUUAUACUUCUUUCGACAUGUAUGAUUCUGCAGCUGAGCGAACAGGAGGAUUUGAUUGUAUGGAUGCGAACGGCUGCAUUGCCGACAUUUCGAAAACUGUACGGAAGAAUCGAGGGUGACCUACAAGUGAAUGAUAAUAUUGAGCUUGUGGUGGAGAAUAACUAUAAUACAUAUAGCUACGGAGGGAAGAAAUGGCUCAUACUGUCGACGACAAGUUGGAUAGGAGGGAAGAAUGAGUUCCUGGGGAUUGCAUACUUGACCAUUGGUGGUUUAUGCUUGUUCUUGGCGGUCACCUUCAUACUUAUCUAUGUGCUUAGGCCAAGGUAAUGACUUCAGAAAUUAUACUCAACAAAGUGAUUUUGAAGGAUAACUUACAGAUUAUUAUCUAAAUUCCAUCCGACUUUUUUCUACGAAACUCAACCAAUAUCUUUUGAAACAUUAACAUGAUAUUAUUUAUUUAUCUGAAAAUUUGAAGAGGUUUCAAUUAAGUUGUGAUUUGGAAUUGACAUGUAAAUGCAGGCAACUUGGGGAUCCGUCUUACUUGUCGUGGAAUAAGCAACCACGAGAGCCAUGAGAAACUUAUUUUGUAGAAUUAGGUGUAAAUGACUUUUUAUUUAUGUAAUGUGAGUUAAUUUUGUAUUAGUCAAUAUUUUCUACGUGAUAGUUGUCUGUGGAUAUAGGCUUCAAUUAUAUAUAUAACUACUUUUUUAAAUUAACUUUUUUACAGAGCUAUUAUUGACAUGCUUGUUUCGAUUAGUUAUGGUUCGUAAUUUGUUGUACGAAUUGCCUUAUUGUUUAUUAUCCCAUGUUGGCGAAGCGAAAGAAGACACCAACAUUAUUCUCACCAGAUCGAUAAUUAUUGUUACUAUAAAAAUAACAAUUAUUAUUUUAUAUCAAAGUAUCCAAAUUUAAAAACAAUCGUUGCUCUCCAUCACAAUAACUAAAAUGCUUCUUGGAUAAAACCAGCUCUAUGCUUUAUAAUUUAUUGAUAUAUCAGUAUUCUAUCGAAAAUUAUAUCGCAUCAAGCUACAACAAGAGUACAUAAAUUGCCAGCCGUAGCAAACACAAGGAUUUGUUUGUGUAGAUAAAAAUAAUGGAAAAUUUUAGGUAAUUUGGAGUUUAAAAUCUUUUUAAAGUUAGAAAUUUGACUCAAAAUAGAAUAUUUAGUUGGUGUUAGUUUUGCUUCUUUGUUCGGAUAUCAUUCGUGAUUGUAAUAUUUUGAUGGAGUGUAAGGAAAAGGGUGUUUUCUCUAGCAAGAGAUCGGGCUCUAUGCAACCUUAUUUAAAGGUCUACAUGCAUCUUCUAUUGGGCGGAACUUAAUUUUAUCGAUCGCAAUAAUUUUAAUUCCUUUGAAAGAAAUGAGUAUAGCUUAAAUUAAAAAAAAAACACACAAAAAAAGAAGAUUAAUUAGGCGUUAUGAGACAGGAAAUUUGUUCUGGUGCAAUGAUAAUGUCUAAUUCUCUCUUGUUUUCUCGUUUCCAAUUCCCGCCUCCUGUACGACCGGAGGUCCGGCCACCGGAAAUAGUACUAAAUGCCGAUACCUCGAUAAGGGAUUCUCCUGAAUCCUCUUCAGCUGCCUUGAAUCGGGCAACCCAAAAGCCUCAUCUCAACCUGUUUCCUAUGCUUCAGUUCUUGGUCGUGAUCUACGUGUCGCUAUGAUCCCUCGGCAGACUUCUUCCAUUCCAGUGGAGGCGAUCAACAUUUUAUUAAGUCAUUAAAUGGCCACUGAUAUCUUGAUUCGUCGGGAGGGCUCCGUGCAAAGAUUUGUGCUCCACUGAGGAAAGCUUUGGUGGUCCGUGCAAAGAUUUGUACAAACUUCGGAAUAAGAUCUCAAAUUACACAAGCACAAUAACAUUAUUGAAUUGGAACAUAAAUUUAUACAAAAAAAGUAUAUAGAAUAUAAAUUUUCACAAUAAUAUGAGAAUAAGUACAGAAAUAGAAGUAAAUGACAAGAGGAACUCAAAUUUCAUUUCAUGAAAACUUCAGCAUUUGAACGAAUCAUUUCCAAAAUUUCAGUGAAAUUUCAUAUGUAUAUAUACAAAAAAUGGCAACAUCCAUAUACCGAAUCAAUAAGCUAAAAAUUAGAACACAUUUAACAAUAUAAAUUUCAUCUCAUAUCAAACCAAUAAAUGAUUAUAUUUCAUACCACGUAUAUAUAUGAUAUGAAUAAGCAUAAUAUAUGAAACAUUAGUAUGAAAAAUUAUAUAAAAAGUAAUAGAAGUAGUAAGAGUGCACAUGUGGAACAAAAGAGAUCAUACCACAUGAAUAAAGAUUAGAUCCAUUUGAAUAGAAGAUAAAAAUAUUAAGAAGACCUUUUAUCGAAAAAUAUUAAGAAGACCUUGUUUCCAUGUACCACAAAAUAAACUCUAAGGAAAAAAAACAUAUGAAUGUAAAUGUUGAAUAGUAAGAUUCAUACGAAAAUGAGUUAAGAUAAACAAUAGAAAUUAAGAUAUAUCUAUAAGUAACCUUUGCGAAUCUUUGAGAGGCUAGAGCUUCGUGCUGAUAACGUGUUAAGAAACUAAUGGAUUGAAAAAUAUAACUAUAAAGAAUAAUGGAAAGGAAGAGACACAAAAGAGAGGGAAAGAGAACUUUCUUCUUCAUUCCUUAUUGGUACAAGAUGAACAUCUAUUUAUAGGUGAUGAACAAUUUCAUAGGAUUCUAGCAUUAUUACAUAUAUGAAUAGGUAUAUGAAUGAGCACAUGAAUGAGUAUAUAAAUGGGGCUAUGAAUAGUAUUGAAUUACAUUGAGUAAUGGACAUUCAUCACAUAUANNNNNNNNNNNNNNNNNNNNNNNNNNNNNNNNNNNNNNNNNNNNNNNNNNNNNNNNNNNNNNNNNNNNNNNNNNNNNNNNNNNNNNNNNNNNNNNNNNNNNNNNNNNNNNNNNNNNNNNNNNNNNNNNNNNNNNNNNNNNNNNNNNNNNNNNNNNNNNNNNNNNNNNNNNNNNNNNNNNNNNNNNNNNNNNNNNGGCCGUUCUGGACCGUCGAUGGUCAACGCUGACUGUCUUUAAGGGUUGUCGGCGUUGAUUGCCGACUAUGUAGGUCAUGCCGUCGGCAUGGCGACCGGUCCUUUUUUUUUAAUACCUCGUCGGCGGCGACAUUUGGCGGUUUUUAAUGAUCGUUUCAAGGAGGUGUGAAAGUUCUUCGAAUUUGCGCAUCUUAUAAAGAAAUUUUUAUUUUACUGUUUAAGGGUCGUUUAGGUCAUUUCAAUUACCGUACUCAAAUAUUGAGACGAUAUUAGAACGUUUUACGGUAAAAUAUAAGACGACAUAUAACAAUUCCUUAAUAAUUAGGAUCUCGAAUCCAUCUUUUUUAAAAAAAAAUUAGGAGUUGUCUGUGUUUGAAUCUUGCAAUUAACAACAGCCACAUAUGUUGUUAACUAGAUGGUGGCUAGUGAGUUUUCUUAUAGUGGGAACAAAAAACAUAAGUGGUAACAAACGUAUAAAUGGCAUCAAAUCAAAUUAGCUCACUUCACUUAUGUUAAGUGUUAACCAAUUCCUUCAUUUUAUAUGUUAUCAGCUAAGAAUCCCUUUCAAACCCAUAUAAUUAAUUUCUCUACUCUGUCAAUUCUACUCACUUAAUUUUUUUAUGACUUAGAAUGGUUGGCUAGCUAGGUGAACAAGUUCGGAAAUCGUUUGAUUGAUAUUUUUUUUCAUCUUCAAAACAUAUACUCAUGUCUUCCAUAAUGAAUUUUCAAUGAACGUAACAAAUAUUAAUAUACAUCAUAAAAAAAUUAGAGUUAGCUUUGUCUAAAUCUAACACAUGAUGGGCCUAACCCCAUUAUGUUCAAUACCAUCUGGUGUUAAGUCAAUUUUUUGGUUGGAGGAACAAGGAGUACGGUAUUCCAACUUAAUUUGAUGUCAAAUUUAAUUUUCUAUUUUCUAUUUUCUAAAGAGAAGUUAGGAUUCGAAUCAAAACUUCUGAGCAUAUAUCCAUAGCUACACUAAUCGACAACCUUAACCAGGUCGGUUAAGAAUAUUUUGUAUCGAUAUAAAGCAGGCGAUUAUGUAAACUGCAACUUGUUAAUUAACAAAUUGUAGUAAGAUGGUAAUUGCUUAAAGAAUCAAAUGCGCCUGGUUGUAAAGAGCAUGCAAUUUCAAGUGAGUGGGGCUCAAUUAACUCUACACCAUUGCAUGCACCCCUGGGGUACGGUUGUCUAAUUAUAAUUUUAAUUCUAACCUACUGUUUUUAAGUUGUAUUUGUGGUUUUGAAAAAUAGAUUUCAAUAUCAUGCUGAAUUAUAUGUAGCCGUCAGAUUAUUCUUUUUUAGCUUUUUUAAUUUACAGGUUCAGAUUAAUGUGGGUAGUUUUGAUCGGAUUAUAUAUAAUUUAAAAUAUACUAAUAUAUAAAUACAAAGAAGAUUAUAUAUCAUCAAAACUUUAAUGGGAAGAUAAACUAUAUCUUAGUAUGAAAAAAGACUACUAAAUCGCCAAUGGCAAACAAAAGAGAGUAAAAAUGUAAUGUGUCAAAGUGUUAUAAUUUAGCCCUCAAAGUGCUUCAAUACAAGGUUAUAAAGUAGCAAGGAAGUAAAAUAAAGUUCCUUUAACAUUUAUCAUUGGAGAUGGUAUUCUCUAUAAUAGCUUGCCUCAACUCAAAGUAAGGUGAUUUUGAGUUAGUAACAUGUUAUAGUAUAUUUAACAGGUUGUGUUACGUAAAGAAAAAUUGUUAUUACGUAAGCCUUACGUAACAGCGUUUACUCUUACAAAACAUGCUUAAUUUUUCUUGUUAUGUAACAGGGCGGAGCUAGCCUUGGGCCGGGGAGGGCAAUCGCCCGUCCUGGAAUUAUAAAACCUUUGAGUGUAUCCCUCAAUCAUAACGUAUAUGUUGGUGUAGUGGUAAAGAUUCAUUUAUAUUCCGAGGAGGACCCUAAACCAACCCUCAGGCACAACAUUUUAAGAUUUAUUUUCUCUUAUACUUUUGCUUUCUUUCACAUGAACAAUCCUUUGACUAUCUAAUUUUGCUGAAUUGAUCAUUCAAAGUUCAAAGAUAGCUAUAAAUUUCUUUUAAGAACUUUUUCUCUGAUCACUCAAUUUUCUUAACAUAUAUAUAAUUAUCAUCGUUGGUUAUUGUUAUUUUGUCAUGAUUUUUGACAAAAUCUCGCCCCUUCUAGUAAAAAUUUCUGGUUCCGCUCCUGUUAUGUAAGGAAAAACUGUCAUUACGUGAGACUUAUGUAACGGCAUUUACUCUUACGUAACAUGUUUAAUUUUUCCGGUUACAUGAGAAAAAACUGUCGUUAUGUGAGGCUUACGUAACGGUCUUUACUCUUAUGUAACAUGCUUAAUUUUUCCUGUUACAUAAGGAACAACUGCCGUUGCGUAAGCCUUACUCUUAUGUAACAGGCUUUACUCUUACGUAACAGGCUUAGUUUUGCCUCUUACGUAAGGUUGACGCAACGGCCUUUACUCUUACGUAACGGGCUUAGUUUUGCAUGUUACAUAAGGAUCAACUGCCGUUAUGAAAGACUUAUGUAACGACAUUUACUCUUACUUAACAGGUUUAAGUUUUACCGUUACAUAAGGAUCACCUGCCGUAAUGUAACGACCUUUACUCUUACACAACACGCAUAAUUUUGCCUAUUACGCAAGGAUCAACUACCUUUACGUAACGCUUAUGUAACAUCCUUUACUCUUACUUAAUAGACUUAAUUUUACCUGUUACGGAAGGAACAACUGCUGUUACGUAAGCCUUAAGUAAUAUCCUUAGUUUUACGUAAAGUUUACGUGACGGCCUUUACUCUUACAUAACAUGUUUAAUUUUUCCUGUUACAUAAGGAUCAACUAUCGUUACGUAACGACAUUUACUCUUAUGUAGCAGGUUUAAGUUUGCAUGUUAUGUAAGGAUCAACUGAUGUUACGUAAGGCUUAUGUAAUAUCCUUUAUUGUUACGUAACAGACUUAAUUUUGCCUGUUACAUAAGAAAUAACGGUCGUUAUGUAAGGCUUACGUAACAACCUUUACUCUUACGUAACAUACUUUAUUUUUGUCUAUUACAUAAGUAACAAUUAUCGUUAGGUAAGGCUUAUGUAACAUGUUUAAUUCUUCUCAAACAAUUAGCCAUUCCCAAACAAUUUAGAUUUGAUUUUAUUAAUUCAAACCGUUACCUUAUUUUGAAUUAACACAAAUGAGAUGACUUGGAGGUGGUGUUGAGAAAAAAAAACAAAGUUUCUUUUAAAGAUCUGGUCAGUGCUACUUAGUUGUAAGGUUCGUUAGAGGAAAGCAAUUAAGCAAAAGAACCUUAAUCUCCAAAAAGAAUAAGUUCAUGGAUAAAUUCUAAAACAUCGUGUCAAAUUUUCUAAGGGCAACUAUUUAAACUUGGCAAUUGGCUCCUCAAGGUUCUCAUAAUAGCUCGCUUGGUCCCUGUACUUUGAAGUCUGAAUACAGGAGAUGGGACUCACAAGUCACAACUGCAGCUCAUAUUUUUGAACGAAGGAGGCAAGGCAAGCUAAGGGAUGCUUCAUUUUGAUGUUAUGUUGUUGACCGGUAUGACAGUGAAACGGUGAACCGCUUAUCAAAAUGGUUUAGUAGGAUUUUGAUAUAUUUAUGGUUUAAUUUUAAUAUAACUAAAAUUUUAUAAUGAUUUAAGCAAUUCAACUACGUAUUAUUAAACUCUCCAUACACCCCAUCUAGCGAACUAGCAAAUGUAUUUAUUUGAUACUAAUGAAAAAUAUGCAUGGCAGGUAACUAGCCCUAGAAAGGUAUACAUAAGGUGACAUUUUUUAAAGUGUCUUGAAGUAACUCAAGUUAUAGUAGCUAGGAUAAUGAUGAGGUUAAUUAUAAUCAGACGAGGUUGAGCCGUCACUAUCGCAAAGUAAAUGUUGUUAGUUUAUAAGCUGACUAACAUAACCUACAGAGACCUAAUUUUAGCUUAUUAAUAAUCGCAAUAAUAAUGAUUUUUAAGCUACGUACCAUAAGCUACUCAUAGUUUAAAUAAAAAAAUCAUAUGACUAUCAUGAACUCGGAUUAUGCGACAUACAUUAAGCUACUUCAAGCCAAUAUGAGUUAUCUCUAGUUACUGUGCGAUCUUUUAUCUAUCUUGUGCUAGCUUUUAGUACUGUUGAGCUACUACUAAGUAAUAAAGGGCCUCAUAUUUGAAAUCCAUUGAAAAUGAAGAUGAAAAUAGAUAUUGACAACUCGAAAAAUAUGUAGGUGAAGGCUGUAAGAAUGAACAUAUACAGACGAAAAUGAAAAUCGACCAACCCGUCAAAGCCCAUUUGAAACUGAUCAGAUGAUAUGUUUUUGAGAAUUACUGUUUGAGAGCCUAUUUUUGAAUAAAAUAAUGCCUUAGGUUUCGUAAAAAUGACAUUGUCUAAAUUUAUUCUGUCGAAAAAUUAUCUCACGGUACAUUUCUCUCUAUAUUUUGCUAAAUUUUUGCCUGCCGGACCAAAAUUCCAGCCGUCCAGAAGGCCCAGCUUCUAGGCCGCCGAAAUGCAGUGUCAGUCGGACGGUCUUUCUGCCGAAAUUUCGGUCGGGCCGGUUUGAAUUUUUUAAAUAUUUUAAUGAUCUCAUUUAAUUGUUAUUUCAAGUAAUCACAUUCGUCAGAUGGUUUUAACGUUCGUUGGAUGCACUAACUCGUCAUGAGUAAUUCGGUAAGUGGUCGUUAAUUAUGUUAGAGAAAUAAGUGAAUAAAUACGAAGAUGUGUCCCAUCUAUCAGCUAACGACUUACCCGCUCUACGCUCAUGUCGCACCAUCCUAGCAGGCCUAACACUAGGAAAGUACUCGCAAACUCAGGACUGGAAAAAGUAAUACAACCUGUCAUCCUCCUUGCCUCUGCACGACUAGCCUUGUCGAGCUCGCAAUACAACCAAGCUAAUGUGCCAACAGCCCAAGCGUAGUCUCGUAUCUCAUUGUAUGCCCCCAUGAUGUACUCCUGACCCACCAGACGGGAACGAUCAGCAGACCUGUCCUGAAAAAGAGUACCCUCGAGAAGACAGAAUAAAAAUACCUUAUAGGCAGUCUCAUCCCCUAAAUGCUUGCUGAUCCCGAACAUAAUCUUCUUGUACAUGGCGUGAUGAUUCAAAGCCGCCACAGACAAUCCCAAGCGACUCAGCUCCCACCCUCAGAGAAUUCAGAUCUCAAGGCUGAUGAAGUGCACGUCCACUAACCGGGAUACGGAGUAUGUAGAAGACAUUAUGCAGUGUGAUUGUCAUCUCCCUCCACGAUAUGUGAAAGGUGUUAGUAUCAGGCUGCCACCUCUCAACAAAUGCCUCGAGGAGAAGAUCAUCAAAAUGGGUGGACAUGCAAUCUCCCAAGUGAAGUAGUCCUGAGGCCUUCAUAAUCGACCAAAUAGUCCUGGUCUAGAUGUCAAAUUCAACGCUCACAUUCGCCCAUUGUUUAAGGCACUUCAUGAAUCUGAAGGUCUUCAGAUCUAUGUAUCCCUCCAUGGUCUGCUACAGGUAAUGAGCAAUGUGACCACCAAAACUGGGGACCACUGUCGUCCUCAUCGGUCCACCAUCUGAAAGCCCCACAGUAAACUUUCAAGUAAGACUGAGUCCAUCAUCGUCCAGUCUAGUGGCGUCCUCCUCCUUUACCUGCGCAAGUCGGCUAGGUUUUUCUCCUCUAACCCCAACACUUGCGGAGGCAUGAGACGAGCCUUUAGAAGUCAAGUGUGUAGAUGUCAAGUGCAGAGGAUCUACGUGCGGAGAAGACAAGUGUAGAGAAGCCAUGUGCAGAUGGGCCUGUACAUACUCGUACUCAAAGGAGGGCGGUGGGACCUCAUCCUAGUCAUCAUCUGGAGGAAAGGUCAUAACCGGGUACGUAACAUGAGGGUUUAGGCCAUAACCAGUCUGGGAGUCGUAGAUUUUCGUCUUCUUGUUCUUCUUCAAGAUAGCAGCCUCUUUCCGCUUCGAAGCGGUGAUCUAUUGCUCUGCCAGCCGAUCUUAAACGGCCGCUUGCUUGUCUUUACCUCUCAUUUUCUUGAUUCCAUCUAUUUCUUCUUCAACCAGAUCAGUAUUGAUCGAUUUAACUCCACCCUUUGUCCUUGCCAUUUUUUUCAACAAACUAAAUUAUACCAAAGAAAACACUAGUUAAUUACACGUUAAUUUCUAAUGUAGUUAAUUUUAAAUAAAAUUUGCAUUAUGCUAAACUAAGUUCACUUAUUACACAAUUUCCUAACAAAAUCAAUUAUUAGUAAUCACAUUAUCAACAUAGCAAUUGAUUAAUAACUAAUCCAAUUAUUAAUUUCUCAGUUAAUUUCAAUAGUAAAUUAUUCACACUACUUCAAUUACUCACUGACAAAUUACUAAUUCCCCUAAUUACUCACUAUUAAUUAUUUAAUUACUUUAAUUACUCACUAACAAUUAUCUAAUUAUCCUAACUAUACUAAUUACAUAAAUUAAAUUAAAGAAAGGGCCGGCCGGCCGACGGUUUCGGCUAGAAACCCGCCCAGCCGGCCACUAGUUUCAGCCGAAGCAGCAGCCAAGCUGGAAUGGCUUCAAAGAAGCUCCACGGAUCUUCGAUUUCUUCUUCAGAUCUUCGUUUGAGAGUGUUUUAGUUUGUUUGUGAGUGUAUGUAAGUGUUUGAGUUAGUCGAUAUACACAACUUCCUAUAUGAAUUUCAAUUUUACGAAAGGAUAAUAACUUAAUUUACUCAAUCUAGGGUAUUGUUUAAUUCGAAAACUAGGGCGUCGUUUAGAGAUUCAGUAUGUUUUUUUGUUGUUGUCGGGACUAUUUUUUUUGGUCAAGUAUAAGAAAGAAAGAUUUAUUCAAAAAAAAGUACACAAUAGAAAAUAAAUAAACAUUACAUUGGAUGUCCGUCUGUGCAAUAUAGUUGGAUUUGAACCCAAUACUAACAAAUAAGUAUUUAUAUUUUAAAAAAAAAGUAAGAAGUAAGUGGUGGAAAAUUCAAGAAUAUUAACCCCCAAGUAUUUAUAUUGUUUUCUCAACUGACCAUAGAAACUAAAAUACAAGCUAAUUAUGUGAAGCAUCACAUGGAAGCAGGAGACAUAUGGCCCAUUGGAAUACUACGAAAACAAUAAAAAUAAAGUGCUAUAUUCGGUUACGACGAAAUGAUAGGCUAGGAUUUCCUUAAAUAGGUGAAAAAGUAAAGUAAUUUUAUUAGGGACAGAACAUGGAAAAAAAACUAAAUGGAAUGGAAGUGUAUUAUGUGAUUAAAACGUUGUAUAAAUUCACUACCCGACAAGAAGUCGCAAAGUGAAAGGACAGGAAAAGCGUAUCUGGAAUUGGAAAUCCUCCUACUUUCUCCUCACACACAGCACACCAGCUGGUUGAAAAAGAUUUUUAAUGAAUUUUGGAGACUCUGUUUUGAAAAUAGAUUUUUAAUGUUAUUUAUACUUUUCAUUUCUGGACAUUCCGUAUUAAUAAUUUCCCUAAUUUCGGUAUGGUUUUUUUGCUUUUUCAAUAUUUGUAUGGAUUCCUCACAAUAAAAGUGAUCAAAAAAUAUGAGACUGUUUCGCUCAAUCAGUUUGUGCAGUGUUUUUUACAAAAGCUUUACGAAAUGAUUGGCGAACAAAAUGAAAGGCUCUAUGGACCGUCUUAUUGGUCUGAACCAAAUCAGCUUCGUCCCGGAAAGAUAGAUUAUCGAAAAUAUCAUCAUCAUUCAGUAAGUGGUCCACUCAAUGAGGCUCAAGACUGGACGGCAAUGCAUACUGGCAAUUAAGCUGGAUUUGACAAAAGCUUAUGAAAGGGUUGAGUGGUCAUUUGUGAGGGAUACUUUGGAGCAAGCACACUUCCCUUCGCAAAUGGUCAAAGUCAUCAUGGAAUGCAUCUUCUCAGUCACUACUCAAGUUCAGUGGAAUGGGGCGUUGACGGAAUCCUUCAAACCUGGGCGAGGUCUUUGACAUGGAUGUCCUCUUUCCCCUUACCUCUUUACCUUGUGCAUUGAGCGUUUGUGUCAUCUGAUUUUGUCUUGCCUGGAUGAUGCGAGUUGGAGUCCCAUCUCACUCGGUUGUGGUGGGUCUCCCCUCUCUCAUUUGUUCUUUGCUGAUUAUUUGGUUUUAUUUGGUAGUGCCACUAUGGAUCAGUGGCAUACUAUUGAAACUGAUUUUCUAGAUUUUGUGCUGCGUCUGGUCAAGUGGUUAGCCAAGAGAAAUCUAGAAUUUUCUUCUCCAAGAAUAUUCCCUCUCGGCUCCGCUAUGCUAUUUGUAGUACUUUGGGUUUUCGGAAGACCAAAGAUCUUGGUUGAUAUCUAGGUGUCCCUAUUCUUCAUGGCCGGGUCACGUUGAAUACCUAUCAAUUUGUUUUGGAUAGGAUGGAUGCGAAACUUGCAGGUUGGAAGAGCAAGACUAUGUCUCUGCGGGCAGGGUCACUCUUGCUACUUCCGUCCUGAAUGCUAUUCCUUCUUAUGUCAUGCAAACGGUUGCUCUUCAUGUUGAGAUUUGUAAAACAAAUUGAUCAACGUAUUCAUAACUUUGUGCGGGAUAGCCUUCCAGAUGGGAGGAAGCCCCAGUUGGUGUCUUGGGAUGAUGUGUGCAGACCUAAGGAGUAAGAAGAGUUGGGAUUGCGAAUAGCCAAAGAGUUCAAUGAAGCCUUUCUCAUGAAGCUCGCUUGGAAUAUCUUAGCGCAACCAGACGCUCUUUGGGUCAAAGUACUUCUUGGAAAAUACGCUAGACAUGGCGAGGAUGGUUACGUGGUGAUUAGGAAGAAGAUGUCAUCUCCCUUUCGGCGUGUUAUUAGGAGGCUCUCGGGCAUGGUUCAGAAACAAGUUUCUGGUUUGAUAGCUGGAUUGAUGGCGAUAUCCUUUUAGCUAACUUUGUUGAUCCUAAUAGUUUAGGGGACAAAGCGAACUGGAUGGUUCGAGAUUUGGUGACCGAGCUUGAUGAAUGGAACUGGAAGGAACUGGGGAGAGUUCUUCCGAGAGAGGCGCAAGAGUUGGUCUGUGGGAUGGUACUACCUAUUGGCGACGAGGAGGAUGGUGUACUUUGAAGUCUCGACCCUAAAGGGCAUUUUUCGUUAAAAGUGCUUAUUUCCUUCUUGCAUGUAUUCAGGAGAGUAACUCCCAACUAGCUUGGAAGAAAAUUUGGCGCUGGAAUGGUCCGAAUAGGAUUGUUCACUUUCUCUAGAUGGCAUUUCAAAGCAGGAUCUUUACUAAUUUGGAGUGGAAGCGAAGACAUUUGACUGACCAAGAUGAAUGCAGUGUUUGUAAGUUGACAACUGAAACCCCUCUUCACUUGCUUCGUGAUUGCAGCACUGUUGUUUGGCUGUGGCGGAGUGUUUUGGGUGCCGAGUGCUGAGUAUUUUGGGUGCCAAAUGUUGGCCGAAUUUUAAUUCCCAAAGUUUUGAGGAGUGGAUGUUGUUUGGUAUAUCCCACCCAUCGAGAUCUUUAGAGUUUGGGAUUAUGUGUUGGAUACUUUGGAAGAACCGUAACGAAUUGGCCUUUCGCGUUGCCUCGAUUUCCUGCGAUCAGCUCCGCCUACGAGUCCUUUACUAGAUCGACGGGGUUUUGGAGACAAUGAAAGUGGGGACAGAGCAUUUUUCGAAAGCCAGUUCAGUACAAGAAGAAGUGCAUAUUGGUUGGAAUGCUGUGGCUAGGGAUUAUAUUACGAUUAAUACUCCCGAAUCAGUCAUCCAACCAAACAACAGUGCAACUGCAGGAGGGGUUAUCAGGAACUCGGAUGGUAAGGUUCUUCACUCGUUUGCAGCUAUGGGACGAUGUACUAUCACUCGAGGCGAGUUGCAUAGAGCUAUCAUCUGCCUCAGGUUUGCUUAGAAGUGCGGUUAUCGCAAAGUUAACCUACAGCUUGAUUCGCAUUACGUAAUUUCAAUAAUGCUUGGAGAACCUCCAGAUGAUUUUCAACAUUUAUCUUGUAUUUUGGAAGCUAAACAACUUUUCGACAGAGAUUGGGAUUUGCGUGUUACGCAUACCUUUCGUGAAGGCAACCGUGUUGUGGAUGCCCUUACCCACUAUUAGCAUUCUCUUCCCUUUGGUUGUUCUUUUGACCCCUCCCUUCCGUUGGUGGUUGUGGAUUGUAUUCGAGCUGGCUUGAUUGGGGUUUCUUUUUCCCGUUCUAUUUUGAUUAAUGAUUAAAACCUAGCAUCGUCUUUCUACCAAAAAAAAGUGAUCAAAGGUAAUUCGAGAACAAAAGAGUGAAGAAAAAUAAAUAAACAAAUAAAUUGCAUUGAGGGGAAUAAUAUUCCCUCUGUAAUAAUGACAAUUUGAUUUCUGUAGGGAUAGUAGGGCAAUAUUUAUAGUUAUGGAGUUAGGUAGGGUGGUUUCAUUUUGCCGGAUGGGUGAUCUGGACAAUCGACUGAAGGCGGUCCCCUGAAAUAACGUCAGGUGUGCCAGGAGCGAUGACCUAGUUACAACGAGUUUAGCCCGCUUAUUCUUUUAAGCCAACUCAUAUAUAAUUGAGGGUUAUUAAGACUAAUUGAUUAAAUCGUAUGUUGCCCACUCUCAGACUGCUCCAUGAACUCUCUCCUCCGGACAAUUGACUGUGAUACGACCUUCACCAGACCCAUCAAAGAUGCAUGGCGUGGAGGCUUAAUUGGGGGGAAAAAAGACAGAAGAAGUAGAUGAUUAAGCAAAGAACAAUCAUAUAAUAUAUAAUUAACAAUAUAAUUAAUGUUGUCUUAUCAACUGAGAUCCAGAUUAUAAUAAUAUGCCUUUAAAACAAUUAAUAAAAUGAACGUACGGAAACAAGAGGGUGUGGCCAGUGGAGAAAGAAUUAAAGGCACGAAUGAGUUUUAACUAACUUUUUUUUGUUAAUAAUUAUAUAAUUAAUUAAUUAAGUAAGUAAUAUAUAUAUAUAUAUAUAGCUUUAAUUUAGAGCACCGAGUGAUCUUGAAAUGGAAAAGGUGUGAACUAAUGUUAAACAUGCCAUUUCAGGAACUUAUUCUGUCUGUCAACUCCCCCUUUCUGUUCUGUGUGUACACACAAACAUCAACCAAUCGCAUGCCUGUGCCGCAAAACAACAACCUUCACGUGUGGCUCCAUUAAAUCCCUCAUAGCCAAUUUUAGGGAGUCUCUCUUAAACUACGAACCGAUUUGUUUUCAAGUUUAAAAUUUCGAUAUUCUAUGGAAAAAAAAUAACCAGUGUUUUUUUAAAAUACGGCUCAGCACGUGUUAAUUUUUUCAUUCUAAAUCUACCGCUCCUCAUUAAACAAUAAAAUGUGGUCAGUCGCUUGAUAUACAUGGGGCCUUUCCAGGCCCUGACCUAUUCAAUUUUAAAAUUUUGAAAUGUAAAUUUUUUAUAUUUAUAGAUGGAUUGUUAUUUUUUCUAUAUGCGACACAUUAAUAUAUUUAAACUUUUAUAUAAUUCAAGCUAGUGCAUUCAACUAUAUAUUCGAGAUGUACCGGUUAUAUAAAUAUAAGAGAGACCUCUCAUGCAUCUUUGGACAACCUCCUCAACCCACUUUUCCAACUACACACAUCCUCUAGACUAGCUAUCUUGUCUUGAAUACACAUGCGUCUGUUGACGAGGACGAUGAUGAUGAUGAUGAUGAUGGAAGUUCACCAUCUCCAUCACAACACAACCACUACAAGUACUCUUCUUCUUUUGCUUCUCCUUACAGUCUCAACUACUACAACAGCAACUAGUAGGCCACUUAUAAACAACAACAACAACAACCAUGAUGAGCAACAUCAACAUCCGCCUCCUCUGCCACAACCUCCCGGAGCUCCGGGAGGUGGCGGUUUGACUCCUCCAAUGCCACCGGGGCCACCGGCUCCAAUAAGGGUUGGAUUGGCGAACCGUUACAAAGUGAUGGAGGAAGAUGCUUACAGACCAACCUCUCCUGGUCAUAGCCCUGGCGUUGGUCAUAAUAGCCCCCCUACUGCUCCAUGAACCCACCCCCGACCUAGCUAGCUACUUUGUUAUAACUGAGAUUCCCCCCCCCCAAUAAUUAUUACAAUUUCUCAUCGAUUCCUCUGUUGACGAUUAUAAUUAGUUAUUAAGGUGUAUAGUUAGUUACAAACAACAAUAACCAGUUACAAUAUCUUUAUGUAACUAAUUAAAGAUGGUUGUAAUUAGUAUCGGAAGAUGGUUAGACUCUUACCGGAGGGGAUAGCUAGAAGUUUUAAAGAAAAAUAUAUUGCUUUAUUGAAAGGUCUAGCUAUCUACUUAAAUAUAAGCAGUAAUGUCUAAGAUGAAUGUUUGAUCAUGUAUGUUUCACGUUGUUUUGACGGAUUCAUCUACUAUCGAUAUAAAUCAUUCAUUUACGUGGAAUAGUUUAAUUGAUUGUAUUUUGUACUGACAACUCUAAAUAUCCUCAAUUCGAACCCAAAACAACCUAUAUAUAGACAUAAAAUAAUAAGUAUUCCUUGUAUUCUCGAUCUUUUAUCUCCGAUAAAGAAAAAGAUUUUUAGUUAUUGUACGCUGAAUUUAAACUUGAUUCCUUUCCUGUUUUAGCUUUAAUGGAUGGCUGAAAUAAAAUUAGUAUCCCCGUUAUUUGUUAACCAUAUGUUAUGUUGUAAAUAAUAUUAUUAUAAAAUACUGAAAGGGGAGGCUACAUGGCAUGCACCUGGUUAUAAUUCUGUUGAACGAAAUGGAACAGGAUUAACCUACGAUGUGUGUUUCGCUUCAUUGUAGUCAUUCCUGUUUGGAACUGGAAAAUGACUCGUAGCUCCCCAGAAAAUAAAUCCAGACCGUUGGAUCUCAUCUCCAAGAUCGAACGGUUUAGGGGCAGCAACGUAUUUUACCUCCUCCCAACCACGCACUCACUGCUGCUGCCGACUCCGGUGGCCCGCCUCUCUAAUUUCUUCCUUCCAUGGUGGUGGAAUCAUUCGUUAUGGUCACGGAGGUGGAACUUGGCGGGCAAACCCAGGCCACCGUCUAGGACGAAUCCCUAUGUAAAAAUAGGAAGUUUUCGAAUUUUGCAUAAUGUGUUACAGAAUCUCUUCCAGUGUAUUUCUAAAUCAACCCAGCAUUGAACAGUUAUUUGAAACUCACUUAUUAUAUACGGUUAUUCUAAACUAGAUGGAGUUAGAAAGAAUCUCCACUCACUUAUUUCUUCGUCUCGAGUAUUAAAUUAUAUGUAAAUAAGUUUUGAUGAUUUAAUAAUUCGACUAAUAGUAUUUGAAAUUUUGAUCCUGUACUUAUUUGUUAUAAGUUUGGAUAAUCGUUUUGUGAUAGUUAUUGAUUUGGGAGAGUUGAAGUCGCACCCGCGGCAAAGGCUUGGUGAAUAUGUCUGCAACUUGGUCCAUGGUGGAAAUGUAUGAGAUUUGCAGAUGUCCUUGUUCCACUUGAUCCCUGAUGAAAUGAAAAUCGAGCGCAACAUGCUUGGAGCGGGUGCUGAUUAAUGGAUUCUUACACAUGAAGAUAGCACCAACAUUAUCGCAAUACAGAGGUGGUGGUGCGGAGAGCGGAUUGUGUAGUUCCUUAAGCAAAUGAUCGAUCCACAUCAGUUCCGCCGUCGUAUAGGCCAGAGAUCGGUACUCGGCUUCGGUACUGGAUCGUGCGACGACUCGUUGUUUGCGAGAGGUCCAACUGACGAGAUUGUUCUCGUGGUAGAUGGCAUAACCAUACUAAGAGCGACUAUCAUCUGAAUCUGAUACCCAGCCAGCAUCUGAAAAAGAGAGAAGUCGAGUGGCCGUCGUUGGAGCAUAGUGCAGAGAUUGCUUGAUGGUACCAUUGAGGUAGCGUAGUAUACGUUUGACUGUUUGCCAGUGAUCGACGGUUGGAGCAUUCAUAUAUUGACAUACUCGGUUGACAGAGAAUGUAAUGUCUGGUCUUGUAAUUGUUGCAUACUGUAGAGUGCCCACAGUUUGACGGUACAACUAAGAAUUAUCAAAAGGAUCACCAGCCUUUUGUAAACGUCGUUGCGAAUCGGCCGGUGUACUAAUUGGAGAAGACGAAUCCAUGUUGGUGAGCUUGAGGAUACCACGAAUGUAGUUCUGUUAACUGAUUUCCAGACCAGCAACCGUGUGUUUGAUAUCAAGUCCCAAGAAAUGGUGAAGGCGACCCAUGUCCUUUAAGGCAAAAACUUGAUCCAACGUUGUGAUGAAAGAGGAGUUGUAAUAGGAGUCGCUUCAUGUGAUUAUCAAAUCAUCGACAUAGACAAGUAUAUAUGUAGUCGAUGUAGCCGUAUGAUUAACAAAAAGAGAUGUAUCCGCCAGACAUGCUCGAAAACCAUGAGAUACUAAAUACCCUUUUAAUUUGUUGAACCAUGCCCGCGGGGCUCUGAUACCACGGUUGGGUGCUAUUGGGCCUUCUCACCCCAAAAGUUAGCUCUUAGGGUGAGGCUUUCCCUCACACUUAUAAAGUGCACCCAGCCCCUUCCACUCUCCGAUGUGGGAUAACCCAACAACCUCCCCCUCACACAUCGGUCUCUCGGUAGGCAUUACCUAUCUACCAACUUUGUGGUAGCCUCACCACCGGCAGCAUCGGGAACAAGGUGAGUUUCUGGCGGCAGAACGGGAGCCAGAAUAUAGGAAUCAAGAUCGAAGGUCUCUAGGGCUGAGAGCACUGUGGAAUGCCAGAGACAAUAAUUUUCCCGGUCUAGUUUGAUAGUGAUCGAAGGAAGAGUGAGAUUCAGAGGAGAAGCAGAAGAGGCUAGGUUGAGAAAAUUGUGGACGGCCAUUGGAAAGAUGAGGGGAGGCAGAGAAAACGUGUAGAAUUAGAAGAGUAAAAGAAAGCUCUGAUAACAUAUAAGUUUGGAUAAGCGUUUUGUGAUAGUUAUUGAUUUGGGAGAGCUGAAUAUAUACAAACAAGAUACAACUAAUGGCUUGAUCUUCAGGGGAAUUAUACCCACUAAUCAAUCGUUGCUAAAAAGAAGGAGUAAUGAAAUUGACUCUUUCUUAUCAUUUGUUUAGACUAACUAAUUGAUGUGCUAGAUUAUCGUCACACUUGCUCUCAUUGUAAACUACAUUUUUAUGUGUCUAAAUGUCAAAAUGUAUUCACAUUUAGGAUUUUGAGAACAUGUUUGGUUGCACUUGCCCCUCGGGGAGGUAUUACGUUGUUUGGGGUGGUUUUGGUGCAUUUCAGGUAAUGUACGAUGCUUGGGUACAUCCAGGAACUAGGACGGUUGAUUUAAGUUGCUCGGAACGAAGUUAUGAUGAAACAGAAGGGGAACGCGGCAUAUUCCUUAAGGACACGGUCGUGUCCUUUCUUCUGGAACUCACGACCGAGAAGGAUUUUUCAGAGAACGGCCAUGUCCUUUUAGGAACACGACAUGUCCUUAUGGAACACGGCGUGUCUUUCUAGAACACGUUGUGUCCUUCCUCCAAGUGGGUUUUCUUAAUAAUUUUCCUUCUCCUAUUGGGAAGAGACGAUAUACAUACCCGAGCAGCCCUUUUGACAAGGGAUACAUUAUUCCAGACAUAUUUUAGAGCUUUUAGAGAGAGAGAGAGAAUGCCAGAGAUCGAUUGAAGCAAGGGUUCAUCAACGAUUGGAGACGGAACAAAAAUCGGCGACAAGAAAGACAUUUCUCAACGAGAGAUGUUUUCUUCUCAGGCUAUUUUCCUUUCUUCUUCCUUUGUUGUUUUCCGAACCAUGAGUAGCUAAACUCUUCGUGUUCUUUUGGAUUAGAUGAAGCUUUAGCUUAGCUUUUGUAUGGAUGAUGGGGUUUUAACCCUUUGAUUUGUUGUCGAGGUUAUUCAGACUUAUGAUCUGUUCUUUCUAAACCUAAUUUCAUAUUAGAUUUCAAUUGAUCUCCUCUAUUGAAUCGUCAUCGUUGAUUUAUGGGUCCGGGAGGAACAUAGAUCAAUAAGUUGCUUAGGAAGAAAUCUAGAUUCUUCGUUAGCUCGAGAGAGGAACAGAUCGUCUAGACUUUUUGCAUCAUUUAUCAUUGUGGCAUUUCAUCGAACUCCUUUAGUGCGUUCUGCUUGUGUGUAGAUUAGCUCGAGAGAGGAGUCUAUGGUCGACCAGAAUAGAUCCUUAGAUCGUGAGAACGAUCUAAGAUUAUCGCAGGAAAUCAUGAAGCCCUUAUUGUGACACCCCAAUUUUGGGUUGAUGUUUGAUUCUAGGAUAAAUUAGUUUUCUGUGAGUCACUGUGAAUCGGCUGUCGGAUGGUCCAUCACGGGCAGGAGCUGCUAGAGAAGGAUUUCAUCUGCCCGAGUGUGUCACCUUGGGGUGCGCCGGUACUUUUUAUGAAGAAGAAGGAUGGGUCUAUGCAGAUAUGCAUAGAAUACAGGAGACUGAAUCAGGUGACAGUGAAGAAAAGGUAUCCUCUUCCGCGCAUUGAUGACAUGUUUGAUCAACUUCAGGGAGCAUUAGUGUUCUCUAAGAUCAAGUUGAGGUCGGGGUACCAUGGAGGACCUCAUAUAUCUCUUUCUUUGUUUUCAUAAUUUUCAUAGACUUUUCAUGUUUUCAGUUGAUUGUCAGACCUUGUUACAGUUAUUGUUUUCCCCUGUUUGAGAUGUUUUUCAAUAUGGUCAUAUUGUUUAUUUCGAGCUCUUGUUGCUCUAUUUAUUUCUGCUGUCGUUUUAUUUAAAUAUUGAGGAUAUUUCAGUACAUGUGAAGUAUGCCAGUUUUCAUGAUUUAUGUGAUGAGUGAACCCUUGACCAAUGCAUAGAUCGAACCAUGUGGUUUGAUCGCGUCGUCUAGGGGCGGGUUUUACAAUUAUAACCUGAAUAAUUGAGAUUUCAUAUCGUUCAUCCAUGCAUUGCUAGCUUUAGUGGAUUCGAGUCCGAACAACCUUCAUUCCCAUAUUUGAAACUAAAUCUUCUUCCAUUUGCUUUCUUUUGAUUUGAAUUCUUGGUUAUUAAUUGAUUACUUAAACACUCAAACAAACAAAUUAAACCUUCAUUGUUACUUGGUCUAGUUUGCAUAAUUGAAUUGAGUAAUAUCGUUAUAAAGACCCUAGGGAAAAUAUGAUUCCAUUAGUUUGUUCUAGUGGAUAUUUGAAAAGCGUGGUAAAAUUCACUCGUCAAUAAUCUAUCAAAUUUGAACUUUUAACCAACCUAUUAGUAUAUAAUAAUAAAUUAAGUUCAAACACCAAAUUUAGUAAAAAAAUAUCACGAGUGGUACAUUCAAUUUUGUUUUAACUAAAAAUGGUACAAAGAAUAUUUUUUUAUCUCAAUGUAUGUUUCAAUCCUAUUUUCGCCACUGUUCGUUAUUGAUGAAUUCGGGUUCAGAAGGGACUUUUCAAAGGGGAGAGAAACCCAUGAAUGAUGAAUACAACUAGUGUCCCACUAUUUGCAACUAAUUGAUGUCCUCUCUUAUGUAUUGAGUCAACUUAAAGCUCCAGUUCAUUUAAGAACUUUGGAGAAUAUAAGAAUUAGAUUCAUUGAUUUGUAAAGUAUACAGACGUUUUAUUUAUAUACAAGAUCUAUUUACUCACUAAUCACUAAAAACUAAGAAGAAUGAGAAGAAGAAGAAAAACGGGAAGAGAAAUACAACGGUAAGAUAACUUAAGAAGACGGUCAACUGAGCUCCAUGAACUUCAUUUAACACCGUCCCUCAAGCUGUAGGAUAGAUGUUAAUCAUACUCAGCUUGUACAUCAGGAACCUUAAUCUCAGAGCUGGUAAUCCCUUAGUAAACAUAUCAACAAGUUGUAAUUCAGUACAGACAUAGCUGAGUUUGAGCAUUCCUGAUUGAAGACGUUCUCUUACCACAUGGAAAUCAAUUUCUAUAUGUUUUGUCUGUACAUGGAAGAUAGGUUUCUAUGCUAUAUGAAUAGCUGACUAAUUAUUGCAGAAAAGCUCAACUAGCUGCUCGUGUUUGAUUCCCAUUUCUUCCAACAAUCCUCUCAUCCACUGGACUUCACAACUGAUAUGUGCCAGUGCUCUAUAUUCCGCUUCAAAGAAUGAUCAAGAUACAGUUCCUUGUUUCUUUGUUUUCCAGGAAACUAGAGAAUUUCCAAGGAACAAGCAAUAUCCAGAAGUGGAUCUUCUUGUAUCUGGGCAGCUUGCCCAAUUUAAAUCACAGUAACCCGUCAUUGUUAUGUUGCAAUCUCUACUGAAAAACAAACCAUGUCCAUGGGCAUUUUUCAAGUAACGUACCACCUAAUAUCAUGCUUUCAGAUGAAGAUCAGUAGGAUUAGCUUGAUAUUGAGCCAAUUGCUGAACUACAUAACUGAUAUCUGGUCUAGUGAUUGUUAGGUAGUGUAGUCUGCCUAUAAGUUGUUUGUACUCAGUGAUAUCAGUUAAUGCAACUCCUUGAUCUAUCUUCAAUUUCAGCUUGUAAUCAAAAGGAGUCUUUAAUGGUUUUUUAUGCAGUAAUCCCAGAUCUUCAAUCAUCUCCAAACAAUACUUCUUUUGACACAUAGCAAUUCCAGUUUGAUUUUGUGCUAUCUCCAAACUAAGGAAAUAAUUCAAUUUUCCCAAAUCCAUUACUUUGAAGUGCUUCUGAAGUCUUCCCUUCAUAUCAUCUAUCAGAAUGGAAUCAUUUUCAGCAAGGAUAAUGUCAUCGACAUAUACUAAUAGAAUCAACUCUGAACCUUGUUUACGAUAUAUGAACAUUGAAUGAUCAGAGUGAGAUUGUGUGAAUCCUUCUUCAAUCAAGGCACUGGCAAACUUCAUAUACCACAUUCUACUAGCUUGCUUCAGGCCAUAUAAGGACUUUUGUAGCUUGCAAACCUUCUGUCCCCUCCCUGAACGUCAAAACCUUUUAGAAGUUUCAUAUAAACUUCUUCAUCCAAAUCUUCAUUAAGGAACGCAUUACUCGCAUUCAUUUGAUGUAGAUGCCAUCCCUUGGCAGCUGCAACUGCCAAGAGGUUUUUGACAGUACUAAUCUUUGCCACAGGAGAAAAUGUAUCUGUAAAAUCUAUUCCAUAAACCUGUGUGAAACCUUGGCAACAAGCCUUACCUUGUACCUUCUCUACACUUUCAUCUGGCUUAUAUUUAACUCUGAAGACCCACUUGCAGCUAUGGCCCUUUUCCCCGAUGGUAACUCACUAGUGGCCUAUGUCUUAUUGUCCUCUAGAGCUUGAAGUUCUUCCUGCAUAGCCUUCCUCCAACACUAAGAUAGCACAGCUUCUUUGAAGGUUUUAGGCUCAGAUUCGACAGAGAUAGAAAGGGCAAACAAACAUUGAGAGUGAGAAACUGUAUUAUAAGAUAAGUAUUUGUGCAGCGGAUAGAAAGAGACAGAUUCUGGAACUUUAUUGGUGGUUAAUAGAGAACAAUGAUAUUGUUUAAGAUAACGAGAUGAGGUGUGGUUUUUUCAGUGAAGAGUCUGGUUUAAGGUGAGUUAUGUAUGAGAGAUUCUGGAGGUGUGUUGUUUUCAGGUGUUCUAUUCUGUAAACUAUCUAAAUGAUCUGACAGAGGGGCUAAAGAUUCAAGAGUGAUGGGAAUGUGAUUAUGAGAUGUGAUGGGACGAGAAUUAGUCUCUAAAUCAGUUUCUCUAUAAGGAAGGAUGGACUCAUGGAAGAUAACAUUUCUGGAAAAGGUAAGUUUUUGGGAUGAAAUAUCGAGGAGCUUGUAUCCUUUGAUACCUAACUGGAAACCUAUGAAAAUGCAAGGAGUUUAUCUAGAUGAGAAUUUGGUUCUGGCAUGAUGAUGUGUACUGGCAUAUGAUAGGCAACUGAAGACUUUUAGAUGCUCAUAGGUAGGAGGUUUUUUGUGUAGUAUUUCAUAAGGAGAAAUGUUAUUAAGGAUGGGAGCAGGAAGGCGGUUUAUUAGGUAGCAUGCAUGAAGGAUACAUUCCCCCCCAGAAUCUUAGAGGCAAACCUGAUUGAAAACAUAAUCAACGUGCAACAGCAAGAAGAUGUUGGUGUUUUCUUUCCACACGAUCGUUUUGAGGAGGAGUAUAGGCACAUCUAGUUUGGUGUAUGAUACCAGGCUUAGCAAAGAAAUCAGUCAUGUUGAAUUCAAGACCUUGAUCUAAUCUAAUGGUUUAAACAUUGAGAGAGAAUUGAGUUUGAACCAUGAAAAAAAGGAUUUGAUUAAUUCCCGUAUUUUUCUCCUUUAUUUUUCAUAAGAAAGACCCAUACACAAUGAGUAUGAUCAUCAAGAAUAGUAAGAAAGUAGGUAAAACCAUCAUGAGUUGGAGAACUCAGGGGACCCCAAAUAUCCCUAUGAACUAAUUCAAAAGAUAUAGAAGCUCUAGAACUACUACGUUGGAAUGGUAAAGCCUUUUGUUUUGCAAGGUGACAUGUGAUGCAGUGUGUAGAAGAAGGAAGAGAAAUGUUUGGAUGUGUUUGGUGGACAAGUUGGAGAUGUCCUAAGGAAGGGUGACCUAAUCUGCAAUGCCAAACCUCAAUGGAGUGAGGAUUUAGGUUUAGAUGAGAUGCUACUAUAUGAACAGAAGAUGGAGAUGAGACUUUAAUGGAAGAUGUGGUGGGAAAGAGAUAUAGAACUUUAUGGAGUUAGGCUAAACCAAUCGUCAUAUGAGAUUAUUGGUCCUUAAUAUGGCACUAAGUAGAGGUAAACAAGGCAAUGACAGGAGAAUUUUUAGUGAGAGUGCUGACUGAGAGAAGGUUAAAAGAAAAAUUGAGAAUAUGGAGGACAUUAUGUAGAACUAAACCACAAGGAAGGGUAACUAUACCAGACUGAUUAGCUAGGGUAUGGGAUCCAUCAAUAAGAGUAACAUAAAUAGGUUGAGUUUCUAACAGAAACAAGGCAGCAGAACAACAAAUGUGACUACUAGCUCUAGUGUCUACAAUCCAAAAGGAUGAAAGAGUAUGAUAGUGAGGAAUACCUGAGGAAGUGCCGCAGGCAGGAAGAGAAGUGGUGAUGAGGUUGGCAACAGUUUCUGAGGUAGAAGGAGUGUAAGAAGCUAGUUGUUGGAGGAGAACCUUAAGACGCGCAAACUUAAUAGAGGACAAUGACAUGUUCAACAUAUCUGAGUGACCUUCUGAGAUAGAGCGAUAUUUUGGAGUUACAUAUGCAGAGUUACGAAAAGAUGAACCAAUAUUGUUGUUGUUCUAUAAACCAUUAAGAGUUGAACCAGCAAAGUUAGUGGUGUCAGAUCCUGUAGCCAUUCCUCCUUCUUUGGCCCUUUUAUUCUUCAACUUACGGCAAUCCUUGAUGUUGUGAUUCUCUUUCUUACAGUAAUGGCAGAACAAACCCUGAUUAUCUGAUCCUUUACCUCUUUGAAAACUAGGACUUAAUCCAAGAGCAAUCGAGUCUACAGAUCUGAGAGCAGAACCUCUCAUCUGCCUCUCGAGUUGAACCGCAAACUUGAAAGCGGUGUUAAUAUCAGGUAAUGGAUCCAUCAUCAAAACUUGAGAUCUCACAACAUCAAAGGUGCUAUUUAAUCCACGGAUGAACCUAGUCACAUAGUCAUGUUCUUGAUACACUAGCAUUUAAGUAACAACCUUACAACUAGAGAUGCUAGCAGGAUUACAAUCACAGGCAGGAAUAGGUCUGAAUUGAAUAUAUUCUUCCCAGAGAACUUUCAAGUUCGUGAAAUACAGAGUGACAGUGAUCUCACCUUGAUCACGGGAUGAAAUUCGAGAUUGAAGAUCAGUUAUGCGAAUAGCAUCUCCUUGACUAAAUCGUUGUUGCAGGUCUUUCCAAGCUGUCGAAGCGUUAUCAUACGUAAUCAAACUCUGAGCAAUGUGAUCUGAAACAGAGUUUAGAUUCCAGUUGAGGACUACAAAGUUGCAUCGCAUCCAAGAGGAGUACGUCACAUUGGUGAUCUAUGGAGGAGAUGAAGAUCCGUCGAUAAACUGAACCUUGUUCUUGAUGCUCAAGGCCAUAGUCAUCGAGCGACUCUAGAGAUGAUAGUUUUCAUUGGUGAGCUUCACGCAGACGAUCGAAAUUGAGAGAUUGUCGCCAGUUGAAAUGUAAAGCGGAUUUGAGAGAUGAUCGGUGAAAGAGGAAGCGGUGGUGGAGAUGAGUGCAGAGAUAGUAGAGGAGGAUGAGUUUGAUUCAGUUAUGGUGAUUAACGAUGGAUUGAAAGGAUUUCAGAUCUGGGAAGUAUGAACAAACAAAACUCCGAUACCAUAAUAAUUUUGGAGAAUAUCAAAAUUAGAUUCAUUGAUUUGUAAGGUAUACAGAGGUUUUGUUUAUAUACAAAAUCAAUUUACUCAUUAAUCAUUAAAAACUAAGAAGAAGGAGAAGAAGAAGAAAAGCGGGAAGAGAAAUACAACGAUAAGAUAACUUAAAAAGACGGUCAACUCUUCUAACGGUCUAGUUGACUCUGUUAGUUCCGUCAGCUCCGUUAACUUCAUUUAACAUCAUUCCUUCGUCAUAACUCAUCAUACUCAUAGUACUUUGAUUUUAUUCACUCAACUUCCCCCCUUUCCAUAAUGUUAUCAUUCCCUCUUGCCUUACGAGCUACGUCCUGACAUACAUCCAUAUCCAUCAUUUAAUAUGGAGAACCGUGGAACCGGAUUGGUCGCCGUCAUCAUCUCCCUGUCCCUCUGUCUCCUUCGUUUGCUGCAUCAUCGCCGAAACCAAGAAAGUCAAGGUACAGCGCACAAUGAUGUUGAAUGACUCCAAACUUGGUAUCUAACCAACAUGAUUAUUCUGUCUUCCUUGGCAGAAGGAGGACGUGAAACUGCACAACGAGCUGUGUGGUAUGCCGCAGAGCCACGCAUUCAGGUUGGGAGUAGCGGCGUUAGUAUGCCUGGUAAUCGCACAGACGGUGAGCACCUUGGCAGUCUGCAGCAACCUAUCAUCAUCCUCCACCGCUAAGAACAAAAGGGAACCGACGAUGAUCUUGUCCCUUCUCCUCUUGCUUCUAUCCUGGUACGCAAUCUCUUACUCUGUUUCUCUUCUCAGGUUUUUGUCUCCAAGUAGCUGCAACGUCAUCAACCAUCCAUUCCUACAUAUGGUGCUUGCUUGAUCCUAAAUUCUCUCUUUCGAGGGUGGGUAUCACGUACUAUAUACAGGGUGAGUUUUGGGGUGGCGGUGGUGCUGUUGGUCGGAGCAACAAGCAUGAGCACAAGGCAGGCGUAUGGAGGAGAAGGAUGGGUGGACGAAAAGUGCUACGUUGUGAAAGAAGGUAUCUACGCUAGCUCAGGGGUUUUGACGUUGGUUUCCUCCGCCACCGCCAUUGCCUCCACCUUCAGAAAAGAUGAGUAUGACAACAAGGUGGUCGUAGUAGAUUACAUGAACAAGCUGCUGUUACUCCCUCUUGACAUUUUUAUUUUAUUUUGUUUCUAAAUCUUUAUACAGAAACAUAAAUAUAGAGACUAACAGACCAGAACAGAACAGAGGCCACUUGGAAGUUUCGACAAGAGACGAGACUCUAUCUAGGUGGCGGCGACAAAGACUUCGACUGCGGCAACCCAUACAUACCUACCAUAGUUUGAUUCUUCCACAUUUAAACAUCUCUUUUUGAUACAAAUCGGUGUACAGUCCCAAGUUCCUUGCACCUGAUCUCGAACCCUAACAUGCAAUGUUUCUUCCACCACAUACGGUUUCAAACUUUUGGUCAAACCCACUAUCUGGUCUAUAUAUUCUUUCAAUGUACUUCAACCUAGCUAACAACUUUGACCGAAACCCAUCUUUGAACGUUCUUUUACAAAGCAAAAGCCCAUCUCAUUCAUUAAACGAUACUACGAUUAAGUGCAGGUCACCGGAGGUACGGACCCCACAUGCGGGCUACAUGGAUCACAGGCCUUAGAGCAUAAGCUGACUGCUCGGGUCCUUUUUCUCCUAAUCAAUAGACGUAACCGACUCAGACAAAACAUUACGAGACAAGUUAGAAACUCGAACAACCUUGGGAUACAUGUCCCAUGUCAUAUCCAGUAAGCAACCAAACAUAAAACUUUCACAGCUUAUGAAUGCCCAAUAAAUUCCGUCCAGAGUCCAUCAAUUCAAAGUCCAGAGCCAAACUCAUAAGACCAAACAAAUAAAGACGGCACAUGAACCCUAGCCUCUAGUUAGGCUUCGGCAGAGUCUGAGGACUCCAAAGGGUUGACGCAAGAGAAGUAGAACUAGUAGAUGAUGAACUUCAGAGUGCGUAUCUGGUUAAAGAAGUGGCGCACUCGGCAGGCAUUCAGAAAUGCAUGUUCCCUUGCCCUCUGCCACCAUAGCCAUACCCCCUUCCCCAGUUUUGUGAACCACUAUAGUUAUUAUAGCCACGUCCAGGGCCAUUGUAGCGACCGUAUCCCAUGUUAGGUCUCUGAUCAAAGCUGCCGAAUGUCUGAUAUCAUGAAGCAGUAGCAAAUAAUCAAUACAGUAGCAAUUAUCCUACAGUAUAGUGAUAUGGAAUGUCAAAGAAUAGCAUGCAUGCAAACCUCAGUAUCGUGCCUCAUUCGAUCAGAAAACCUAAACUGCCCAUUCCUUCCCCGGCCGCGUGAAUGACAAGAAAUUGUGUCAAAGAAGUCGUCUUUCUUGUAUGCAGGCUGUAGCCAAAAAACCAGCAAUUAUAUGAAGCAAUGAGAUAAUCACGACUCUCGAGAAACAAAAUAAGAAUCUAGCACCAAGGAUGAAGGAGGACUUUAAAAUGCCACCUGAGGAUCAAAAUUGUUUGGCAAGUGAAGAGCUACAUUUUGUUGCAAUGCAUUGCCCUCGAGAAUGUCGACUUCAUUAUUUGGCUUUGCCUUUCCCAUAUGACCCCACACUUCAUCCUUUUUGAACUUCUCAUUCAUUGCUUCAAAAUCAAAUUCUUCGGAGAACAUGGUCUGGAUUUCAUGCAAAUGAAAGAAUAGAAACAAAUUACUGAACCAAUCUGACAAGCAUCAGGUCCCAAAGUUAAGACGUCUGCCAACAUUCACGAAGAUAACAAAUGUUUCAUAACACUUAUAAAAAAAAUGUUUCAUAACACUAGCAUGUGAUAAAUGAACGCUCCAUUCUAGUGCAUCUCAAUUUCAGGGUUUCUACUAAUAACUUGCACACAUGGAUGCCAACAUACUGUUUGUAUGUAAGAGAGUAAAAUGAAAUACCCAGCCCAAUAGACGUAUAGUCGAGUAUCAAUGGAUCAAGAGAGUCAUAGGAUUCUUAUUAACAUUAUCCAAAGAUUAUUAGACGAAUGUUUGUGAGUACAGACACUAAUUCAAGUAAGGACUAGUUCUCAGCUCCACCAGCAAUAUAAUAGCAGUUGACCACAUGUACCAGUAAUAAGAAUGGAAAAUAAAAGAAUUAGAGGAAGUUAAAAAGAAAACCUUUACAUGCUUAAUGCCGGCCAAUUAAUUUAAUCUAAAUUGUUCUUGAUUGCCUUACUAUCCUCCUCUAUGUGUCCCCACUGGUAUUUGAAACCUAGUCUGCUAGAAUAUUUUUGUCAGUGUAUAUUAGCCCCAAUUGUCGAAACCCAGGCCGUAGUGGAUCUUUCACUCCCAUCCAUCAUCUACGCUUACCAUUCAGGUUUAACAGUGUGUGAAGAAACAAAUCUACCAGGCCCCAAGGUUACUAAUCACAGUGAAUCGCUAUAAAUUUGUAAAUUUCAGGACGAACUUAUUUUUUCAGUUUGACCCGUCGAUGUUUCGUAUACAAAAGAUUGGACUCAUCGAGGAGUUUUCAAGUAGGGGACUUAGAGUUAAGCUCAAACUUGCCUCGUCCAGGAUAGUAAUGAGUUAGACUCAAGGUGGCUCGAGCUCGACACGAGCUUAUAUUUUCCAGCUCACAAUUCGAGCUCGAGCUUGAAGCUUGUGCAAUUCGGGUCAGUUCAUGAACAGCCUAUGAAUGGUAUUGAGAGUUGUGUGCAAAUGAGUAGAAAAGGGAGAGAAAGAGGAAGAGAGAAAGAGAGGGCGGUCCCAGAGAUAAAUCUAUGACUAUGAGUUGGCGAAAUUCUAUAAAAAUCUGACUAUGAAUUGUCUCCCCCAAGACUACAUAAGACUAACGAGUAUAACUACCACAAACGAAGCAUUCAUUGUAUUCAUAACUCAAAUAUUAAGUGAAAAUUGUUACGGCAUGCUGGGAUCUGCACAAACAAUAUAAAAGUUCAGAGGGCAUAAAUUAACAAGUCAGAUACUAGAUUGCCACAGAUCCUUUGUGCUGUAUGCUGUAUCACAUUAGUCUCAGGACAAAAAGCACUCAAACCAUUUUAUAAUGACGAACAUAGAGAUACUAUAUUCCUUCGUGGUAACAAGUUACUUUUGAUUCCUCUCCUCUCUUUCACGUUUCAGUCGUAUAUUAUCUCCCUACACCAAUCAAACAUCUAGCUUUGCUACAUCCCAUGCCAUAAAACAGUAAUCAGACAAUAUUAAGAAAUGCGAAUAUUAAGAAAUACGACAAGGAGGAUCUUCAUAACAAAGAAAGCACGUGUACCUGUGUCGAGCUCGGCAAUGGCAAUAAUGGUGCUUGAGAAGCUGCAGUAGAAAUCAAGGACGAGGUUGCCGAUGACGGUGGGUUCAGCAUCAUGCUAUUCUGUGUAGAGUACAUACUUUGCAUAGGGAAAAGGGAAGACUGUGAAAACUGAUUCAAACUCGAAGGGUACGGAAGUUGUGAUAUCAAGGGAUUGGAAGAGGAAGCAGAAUAAGGCAUGGGCUGUAAAGGAGGCAUCCCUUCAGGGUUAGACUCAGCACUGCUAACAUUUUGAUUUGUACCAGUCUUUAGAUCUCCUCCACCAGAAAUUCCAUAUGCGGAAAAAGGUACUUGAGGUGCAAUUGUGAAUGCUGAGGGUGGAAUCAAAGGAGAUGAAGAACUUUCUGGUGGAAUAAGAGAAUGCGAGAAACUAGGAUUUGCGGCAUUUGAGACAUUUGAGGCAUUAGAUGGAGCUUCUGAUGUAUGCAAUAAUCCCAUUACUGGAGAAACACCCGGUCCAGGAGCUAGCACUUGAUUUGGGAAGGAAGAUGGAGCAAUAGAUGAAGGAUUGAAAGGGAUCAAUGGAUGAGCAGGAGCAGGCCUGCUGAGUGGAUUUCCACUAUAUCCUUGCCAAUACAUCUGUGACGAUAAAGGUUGACUAACAGUCUGCGUUGCUUGAGAAAGAUUUGAUGGGUAAAUCUCAGGAGGAUGUGAAGGCAAUGGAGCAGAAUAGACUCCAAUUGUUGGUGCAGGUGCAUUCGGUACUUGACUUGAUUCCAUGCUAGUCUUCCGAGCAAUUGGAGCUGAUGAUGAACUUGAAGGGGCACUAACAUACUGUGACUGAAAAUAACCAGGUCCAACAAACCAUCAAUACUCUCACAAACUAACAGAAACGCUAAAAGCUCGUAACUUACAUUUUCCACAAGACAAUACCUGGAUAAUGGCAGGGUCUUCAUAUAUUUGCUCGGAAGUUGGAGCAGGAGGUGGGGACUUCACUUGUAAAUCCUGCAAGAAGGGAGAAAAAUCAAUCAGUGCAGGAUCUAUAACAAGAUAUUAGCAUUUUCGAGGAAGAUCAGACACCAUUGCUUGAUCUAGGUAAUUCAGAAGCUAGGCUUGGUAAGGUAUCCACUUGGUGCAAACAUUAGAUGUUGCUUACCAGAUAAAAAGGAUCUUUACCUUAAUAUCACUCCCACGAAAUAGAAUGAAAUCAUACACCUUCUCACUCGCAGGAACUUGUGGGCCAUCUUUCUUUCGACCCUCCGUUCCAUAUGACCUGACUGAAACAUUAAUUCAGAAGGAUGUACAUCAUUCAGAAGCCAAAGUCUCGCCUUAUUACAUCAAGUGAUCCUCAUCAUGGAUAAACAGAGAAUUGGCAGAGAAACCAGAUAUCAUGAUCAAACAGCUGGAAGACAACAAAAGCUAAAUGAAGAAACAAAGAAAGCAAAAUUCCAUAUGCAUGCGGUGGAGGGUAGUAAAAUCUUUCAAUCCACAGUUAUGAGGCAGUUAAGAUUGCAACCAAUUCACCAUCACUUGUUGUCCUAUAAGUUCUCUGGUGAUGAACCAGUUAAUAUUGCAACCGAUUCACCAUAGACAAUUACUAAUUCAAACUGUAAAUAUGUAAGCAAUGGAAAAUCAAUUGCAGAGGAGAAAACGAUGAUGAAACAGAACCAGAACACAACGUAAUAGCGAAGAAAAGCGAGCAGAAGAAGGAAAGAGGGAAAUAAAAAGAAGCUAAGGCUAACCAUCUUUUAGGGCAAGCGUGGAAUCCUGAACGUCUAGGCGAUAGAGGACACCUUCAUAGCGAAUUUCAAACUUGGAAAUGAGACUAAUGUGGCUUCCUAGGUAAGAAUCGAUCACAUUUGACGAUCCUGGUGCGGAUGAAGAAGAAGGAGCGGAAACAGGAGGGGUAUCGGAAGAAGAUGGCUGCAACGCCGGCGAUGAUGACGGCGGCGAGGAAGCCAUGUAUGGAAUCCAACACCGGAGGAAUAGCGUAACAAGGAGAGGAUGGAGGAGAAUCCGGAGGAAUCCCACAAGGCGUAGGAACCGAAGAAAUGGGAGAUGAAAAACUAGGAGGUAACCGUUGAUGAGUUGUGUUUCUGCGAUUAGGGUUCCAUUUCUCUAUCCCAUUUUGGAAUUUGGCGGGGCUACGGUGGGAUAGGUUGGUCGCUUUUCCUGCUUUUCCUGUUUUUUGUAUUUUCUUUUCAUUCUUUUAUCAUAAUUUAAACCAGAUUUUUAUGAAAAGGGCGGUUUGAUUCUAAAUAUGCUAAAAAGAUAAUACAAAACGUAAAUAAUAUGGGAUGGCCGGGUUAUUAUAGGGUUCUCAACGUUGAUUGGGGAGCGUCGUACGUUGUUGUAGUUGUUGCCUUAAUGAUUGUAAUGAAUUGUUGAGUCUACUACAAACUAGCAUGGUAUUAAGCAAAACACAUGUUGUAUGGAUUUUCCUAACGAGCCAUAUAGUGGAGCUAGUAUUUUGAUCAAGUUUCGAGCUAUUUCUCCACAAGUCUAUCGAGUUGAGCAUAACUUGACUUAAAUGUAGCUCAUUUAAAGUAGAGCUGAGUCCCGAAAAAGGUUUUUUCGAGCCGAACAAGGAGUAGCUUGGCUUGUGAGCAGCCCUAGCGAUUCACAAUGGUCGGUUAGCCUUGGUGCCUGGUGUAUUUGUAUCUUCCCACACUGUUAAACCCGAAAGGUAGCGUGGAUGAUCUACGGACCGAAAUGACGGAUGAUUUUCUCGCUACUGCUUUGUUGAUUUUUGUUGAGAGGGAUUAUGCUAUAAAGUGGGAUAUAGAGGCUACGAUUGACCAGUUUUCUAAAUUAAAAAAUCGUCUGCGAAGUUGUAGAUCUCGAAAUAAAGUGUUCGGGUUGUAAUAUAUUAUAACUAAGAAUUUCUUAUAUAGACUUUUUUUAUAAUUAAUAAAUCCGACUUGGUUCCGCCAUUGCGAAGAACCUCAGCCGAUUUAAUCAUUAAAAGUUUGGACGGAUGAAACCGGACGGGCGUGUGUUUUCGUCAAGCGAGGUAAGCUAGACUGAGGGAUUUUCCGUUUGGCCUGCUUUAAAAAGAAGAGUUAAAAUUGGAGAAUAUGUUUGCUUUGGGAAAUUUAUGUGUCGGUUACACUUUAUUGAGCAUAAUGAAGAACCCAAUUCAAUCACGAUUAGGGGCGAGCAAAAGUAGGUAACAAUUGGGAGAGAAGUUGAGUAAGUAGAGUUUUACUUUCCCCAACGUACGGGUUAAGCAUGGUGAAGUAUGAGCAAAGAGUGCAAAGUGGUUGUAGAAAGGUUUUUUUUUUAACCCGCCCGCUAAUUAUCACAAACAAAAUACACCUUUUUAGGUUUUCGUCACGCCACCGAAAUUACAUUAUUUUGAUAUUUUCACUAGAAAAGAAAACGGGGGCAAGAAACAAAAUACUCGUGCGCUGCCCUGCGCUGCGCUCAGUCUCACCGUCCUCCUCUUAUCUAAUCUUUUUUUAUUUAUAUUAAAAACCCAUCGACAAACUCAGAAACUUCCUCUUCCCAGGCCCUCUGCUCCCAAUGGCCGAUUCCAUUUCUCCCGUUUCCACCAAACGGCGGCAGGGAAAUUACCACCUACAGGCUGAGCAGCAGCAGCAGCAGCAGCAGCCUCCUCUAAUUUCCCGCCUCCCCGGCCACCCCCCCCAACUCUGCCUNCCUCCGACUGCAACUCCAUCCACUUCUCCUCCUUCGAUCCAUUCUCUUCCAGCUGGGAUCCACUCCCUCCUCCGCCGCCGCUCCACCCUCCCCUCCGCCUCCUUCUUCGCCAUCCAUCCUUCAUCUCCCGACACCUCCCCAUCCAGUCCCUCUCUGUAUCCGGUCGCCUCCUCCUCCUCGCCGCCACCACCGACAACCUCUUCCCCGCCCUCUCCCGUCCUUUGGUCUUCGAUCCCAACUCCCGCUCAUGGUCCUCCGGCCCUCAGCUCUCUGCUCCUCGCAGAUGGUGCGCUGCCGGGACCUCCAACGGCGCUGUCUACGUCGCCAGUGGAAUCGGAACUCAAUUCUCCCCCGACGUCGCCAAGUCUGUGGAGAAGUGGAAUUUAAUUGAAUCGAAUAAUAGUCAACAUUUGGGGGAAAUCAAAAUUACUUCUCCCCCGAAUUGGAAGUGGGAAAAGGUGAAGGGGAUGAAGGACGGGAGGUUCUGCAGAGAAGCGAUCGACGCUGUUGGGUGGAAAGGGAAGCUGUGUAUGGUGAACGUGAAGGGAAAUUCGGCGGCGAAAGAAGGCGCGGUUUACGACGUCCGUCGGAACUCGUGGGAGGAGAUGCCGCCCGGGAUGAUCGGAGGAUGGAAGGGUCCGGUGGCGGCGAUGGAAGAGGAAGUAAUGUACGUGGUGGACGAAGCGGAAGGGGCGGUGAGAAGAUACGUGCCGGAGAACGACGGUUGGGAAGAGGUGGUGGCGUCUCCGUUGAUGAGAGGUGCUCAGCAGGUUGCCGCCGGUGGAGGUAGGGUGUGCGUCGUUUGCGGCGGUGGGAUUGUGGUAGUUGAUGUGAUGACGGAGCCGGCGAGGAUUUGGGUGGUUGACUUGCCCAAUGGGUUUGAUUCUGCCGUCGCUGUUCAUGUACUGCCAAGGAUGAGCCGGCCGGAAAUAGCUUUCCCUUCAGCUUCAUGUGCCUUCAUGUCUACGGAUUAAAUUUUGAUUUUUGAUUCAUUUUUUGUUUUGUUUUUUACUUGAGAUUUUUGUUAUGUAUUACGCGCACACACACACAAUUUCAAAUUCCUAACACACGGUGAAAAUGAAAUUACUUCUAUAUUUUGUUUGGUUGAUGAUGUUUUCACAGCGGUGUUGGCUUAGAUAAUAACUAAUAAUGCUAUUGGUUAAUCCGACAAUGAGACAAUUGAAUAAUUAGUUAGUUAAGUUGAGGAUUUACUGUGUCAAAAUUUAAUAGGCUACUUGACUGGUGUGUUGAGGUUGACUGAUUUUUGGUUGGUUUGAAUUGUAGAUUGUCUUAGCUCGGUCAAUUGUAUAUAAGUCUAUUUUUUUCGAAAGGUAUGAAUAUUCAAAUUGUCAUUCUUCUAAAAUGUUCAAAAGACGAGCGUAUAUAGUACCUACCGGAGGUACAGACUCCACAAACGGAGUUGUAUGGGUCGCAGGUCUUCGCUAAUGCAUCAAUCUCGGUCCUUGCUCACCGGCUAACAGACAACGGCUAAAAACAAGGCUAUAAAACAAUCUAAAACUUGUAAACGUGUCCGAAUAAAAAAGAAACCUGGCUAUGGACUAUUGAAAGAAUAUUAAUGAAAAUUCUAAUUAAAUUUGUAAAAAACGAAAUCAUUUAAUGAGGUUACUAAUGUAAGCUGUGUCAAUUUCAGUUAGAAUUUACAAAAUUAUUGAACUUCAGAUUUUUGUCAGGUUUUACAAAUUUGAUUCACUUCAAACGAAAUUCGGAGAAUAUAAUUAGAUAAAAUUAAGCUCAUAAAUCCAACGAAACUGGAGAAGUUGUUUUGUAAUCAAAGAAAAUAUAUCCGACGAAAUUAAUUAAACAUCAUAAAUUAAUCUCUAAAUCCAGUCAAUUCCGUCAUAAAUCUAACCAAACAUGGGUUUGUUAGUAGAAGGAAAAGAUAUUUGGUUGGGAUUAAUAAAUGGUAGGGAAUGAAAGUGAAAAUUUGUCGUAUGGAGCUGGUAGGGUGGCUGAAUACACAUGCCAUCGCUUUUUGGCUGAUGAAUGUCACUCUGGACACUAGAAUACAACAUGGCUCUGACUGCCCCCCUUUCUGUAUUUAUUAUUAUCACUAGUUUUUAUUAUUAUCUUACUCAUAUAAACUGGAUUAGUUCGGCAGUGUCAACUGAACCGGCCUGCCAUUAUAUCACGGCUGACGUCAACUUUUUGGUUUACCAGUCGUCUCCGAUUUUACCAAAGUAGUGACCUUCAUCUCCAUAAUUUGUUACCGUACUCGAUUUCUUCCUCCCCGCCCCAUUCCUCGUCUCUUCACCCACGCUGUUACUCGACUGAUGCGUGGUGCACAAUCUCCAAGUUAUGGGAGUAUUGGAAAUGUGGUUCGAGAUGUAGUGGGGUUUUUUGUUUCAUGCGUCUGGAUAAAUUUUAAUUUCUCAACAAUUACUUAAGUUUUCACUAUCGAGCUGUUAGUGAUUUGUCGGGCGUUGUUUUUUGCUAUCGCUGUUCAAGGAGGUCCCGUUGUACUUUACUCGGAUUCUGUUGAAGAUGUUCGCCUUCUACAUUCCUUUACUCUGGAUGUUCGCCUUGGCACAUUACUUUCAAAAUGUUGGGGUCUUCUCCGAUCAAUGUCUCUUGUUUCUGUUAUUCACAUUCGCCUUCAGGAUAAUCUCAGAAAUCUGUCUUGAUUAUUUUCAUAUCUUUGAUGUGCGAAGUGAUGAUCCCAAAAUUAAUUAGUCAUGAUCCAAAUUCUUAUAAAUAUCCUAUUGGGAUUAUAGUAACAACCAUAUAUAGCCUAAGCUAGUGAGGGCCGGCGGAUACAAUUGAUUAUAGUUAUAGUUUCGGCUUAAAAUCAUAGAUAGGCAUGAAUUGUAACGUAAUUAUACGUUUAUGUAUGAAUUUUUUUGAAUUUCGGAAAUGGUAUGAACUAUCCAAAUUUUUUAAGUAUGUGGUGCACAGUUCGUUUUGUCCAUUAGUUUGUUAAGUGACGUGACAGCGUUAAUGAUUAUGUGAACGAAGCUGCCGUGGAACUUGUUCGACUAGUCAAAACUGGCGGUUGCACCCCCUCAACCAUUUGUUCUUCGCACCUUGGCCAGUAAAAUCCUCCAGUACAGCUAUUUUCGAUCCAAUAAUGCAUGUAUCCACUAGAAGAAGACGCAUAAAUAGUAUCUCAACAACCUUCAAUAACAAGAAGCUGGAGCGCCAGAGGUUUUUAUUUUUGUUAUUGAAACAAAUUAGUUUUAUUGUUAUUAAAAUUUAUUACAAAGUUGACAUGUCAUAUUUGACUAGUCAAACAAGUAGCCAAAUCAGCUUUCGUUCGGACAAUCAUUAAAAACGUCAUGCCACCUAUACAAAUUAAUGAAAAAAACUAACAACGUGCCACAGGUUUUAAAAGUUUGGAUAGUUUGUGUCAUUUCUAAAAUUCAAAAAAAUCAUAUAUAAAUAUAUAAUUACGCUAUAAUUCGUAUACUUUGAGAUUUUUAGCCAUACAUAUGUAUUAAUUUGCCGGACUGCAUUUAUUACACUCCAUUCCCAAUUAAUAUUCCAGCUUCACCACCUAAUCAACCCUCCCCCUAUGUAUGCUCACUUUACGUAUCCAGCUUUUCAAGUUUAAGGUUUUCGACAUCGACGCCGGGCGAGGCGACCACCCUUCAUCCGCCCCAUACUUUAAACGGAUUUGGUACUAAAAAUUACUUCAAUGAUAUAUGCCUAUCGAUUAUUGUUCGUUCGGUAUGUGUGUAAGAUUGAUAUUGAAUUUAAAAGUAUGAAUAUUUUUGUCUGAGUAAGAUAUCGAGUGAUUAAUAAUUGUUUGGAAGAACAAGAUGUGGUGUGAAUCUUAAUUUGUAAUUGUAAUGAUAAAGGCGGAGAAAAAUUAUCAUUUAUGUCCCUUAGUUGUAUGUAAUUAUUAAAUUGCUUUGGGAUAAUUAUGUCAAUCGAAAAAUAUUAAGAUUGAUUGGGUGAUAUUGAAUAUCAUAUUAUCAAAUAGUUAAUUAUUUACGCUCUGAAACCAGAAAAUAUCUUGAAUUACUAGUUUUUUUAUAAUAUUGAAUAUCAAUAAUUUUGUAAAACACUAAUAUUGGUAGGCAUAUCAUUUAGUUAAGUAAUUUUUUAAAUGGAAUGUACCUCAUAGUUAAUUGAAAAAUAACUCAUACAAUGUAAAGAAAUGGAUUGCCUGUAGGGGGCUUAUCUAAGAAAGAAAAUGUUCGGCAAAUUAGGCUUCAUAAUAGUUUGGAUUGGUGAAGGUUAGUACAUGUACAUCCACUGUUUAAUCGUUUUAAGUUUGAUAGUUUGAUUUUAACAAUAUUACUGUAUUUGAUCGGGUUGUGGUUUUAAUCGUUGGGUACUAUUAAUCAAACAAAUCAAUCAAAUGGUCUUUUGGGUUGUUGUUGUAAGAGGAUUUCUUUAACUGAUUAGUAAAAUUGAUGAAUUUGAGGUUUUAAAACUGAUAUUUUGUAUUUUUUUGUGGAAAAAUAGAUGAUUAUUAAAUAGUUAAAUAUUAUCGUAUAUAAAAUGGUUUGAAUAGCACAAUAUACAUCACAGCACCAACACCAUAAAUGUUUCGGUGUGAUUAUCGUCAAAACCACACCCUAAACCAAACAAAACUGCUUUGACCGGCAUGGUUUCGCCUUUUCGGUCAGAUUCGCGGUUUUUCGAAUUUCAUUGGCAACAAACUGUCAUAACUAAUUGGACAAAUCCGACCGUUAAAAGUUAUUCUCACAUUUACAGGCUCACAUUUACAGUUCACAGUAGCCCAGGUGUCCCUCAAGGAGUGCCCAAUUUUCUUCCUGCUUUGAGCUUUCGCCCCUCUUAUGCUUUACCGCUUCGUCUGGAAAUCGGGGGAAAAUCUCGCAGAGCAAUGGAAAAUGAGGAAUUGAUAUUGGAAGAGCUUCUCAUCGUCGAAGCUGAAAUUCUAGACGUUCAAGGUUUUACAUGAUUAAUGAAUGAAUCACUAAAUUUUUCAUCACUCGUUUUGGCGGAGUUCUUUCAAACUCCCACUUCAUCACCUUCCCCGCUCGCUUGUUUUGCAGCCCAGAUAAAGGCGCUGUUUGACAAGCAAGAGAAGUUGGAGGAGAGGCAGUCCGACCUCAGAGCUUUGCUAGAAGCAUGUCAAGCUUCCGGAAGCCCUGCUCAUGGCGGCCAAGCGACGACUUCGGAAAAUUGGUCCGGUUCAUUUGAGUGGGAUUCCCAGGCUGAAGAUGUUAGGCUCAAUGUUUUUGGGAUAUCUUCAUACCGCGCGAAUCAGCGUGAGGUAGGUCUCCUUCACUGAACUCUGAGUUGGUCUCCUGUUUGCGCUUACCGUAUAAAUUAUGAAGGAGUUAUUGAUGCACUGUUUGAGUGAAAUUGGAGCAUAUUAUAUUGCCAAUUGCUAUCCGUUUACUAAUAAAACAAUGAUGUAUAGAUACUGAACGAAUUAUGGAACACUGCCUUUUUCUCCCCCUCGGCAAAGCAGCAAUGUGAUAAUCUCAUGAGUGUUUUGUCAAAUUUAUAUAACCUCAUGGGUGAAACCUUGUAUUUGUAAUGUUGAUUGCUACUAUCGAAGGCCUCAAUGUGCUUGAUCUAUUGGUUGUGUCAUAACAAGGCCAUGGGUUGGUUUCCUUUUUUAUCACUUCGUCAAAAGACGAGCUGUAGUUUGCUACAUCCUCCCAUUUGCUUACCAGAUGCGAGAUGUUACUGUUCCAGUGUCCUUCCCUACUGCCGUAUCAAGUGAAAAAAGCUAUCUUGUGGGUUGCUUAUAAGAAACUAGUUACUGUGGUUGAAAAUGGAUGCUCUUGUGAUCGUUCUCCAUUCGCCUAUCGAUGUGGAGUAACUUUUAGUUUCUGUAUUUUCACCUGACAAAAAAACUUAUAAUGUUUUGUAUCUUUUAUUAGAUUGUAAAUGCCGUGAUGAGUGGAAAAGAUGUUUUAGUGAUCAUGGCUGCUGGCGGCGGGAAAAGCCUUUGUUAUCAGCUUCAAGCUAUGCUUCGGAAUGGGGUUGCCCUUGUUGUCAGUCCUUUACUUUCUUUAAUUCAAGACCAGGUAUCCUUUCUAUCUUUUUUAAUUUUCUGUUAUCCCUUAAUUUGGCCCCAAAGUUUGAACCUAGGAUGACUUGGAUGUUUCAAUCCACUUUUGAUCACUAAGCUAAUUCCCUGGAGGUUUGAACCAUACGUGUUAUCUGUGAAUAUUUUCUAUCCAAGUUACCCAUUCUAACUGUCAUCGGUGAUGCAGGUGAUGGGACUGACUGCAUUAGGGAUUCCUGCAUUCAUGUUGACAUCAAGCACUAACAAGGAAGAAGAGAAGUUCAUAUAUAAAGCUCUAGAAAAGGGUGAAGGAGAGCUCAAGAUAUUGUAUGUUACUCCUGAAAACAUAUCGAAGAGUAAAAGAUUUAUGUCAAAGCUUGAAAAGUGUAAUCAUCAAGGUCGUCUCACUCUAGUUGCAAUUGAUGUAAGUCGUUUUCAGCGUUUUUUUGGCUAACAUGUACGUUACUUUUUCGGUAAGAUACUUUCAAUGUUUCCGUUUGACCUUUUGCCCACCAAAAUCGCUAAAUACAUAACCUGCUGGUUUGUCAGUUGCUGUCUUUUCUUCUAAGGGAAUAACAUUGCUCCAAGUUCUCUUCUGGGAAGCUGCUAAUUUACAUUCUUAGGGUCAAGAGAGGUUAUAAGUAUGACAGUGAUUCUGGAAAAGAUGUGCAAUAUCGGUAAUAUUAUCUUUAGGGACACUCUCAGUCCAACAGUUAUGUUGACUUACUGGUGAAGAAUGAAUCAUAGAAGCUUAGGAUAAAACAAAGUUAUAUGGAUAUAUUGCAACCAAAUUCUUCCAUAGAUAUUUUUGAGAGCCAAUGGAUCACAAUAAUUAGAGAUAGAGAUGGUCAUGGUUUUGUCGGUAUCACUAUACAAGGCUGCUCUCUUGACCUUGCUUUAAUUAUUUUAUAUCAUUAUUAACUACCAAAAUGAUUUCCGGUGUUGUGCUGGCAUUUAUGAAUUUCUUUUACCACUAUAUUGGCUUACGAUACUCAAUCCAACAGCAAGUUCUGACUCUUAAAAUUAUUGAGUGUAGUGGUCUUAUUUAUCUUCGUGCUACUUUUUACUAGGCUCUUUACUGAUGAGUAUGAUGUGCGUGAUACUUGACUAGUUCUGAGAUACUCAAAGACUCAUGCUUUUAAUGCUUUACAAUAAUAAUCUAGCUCAUGUUUUGUUCUGAUUUCUUGAAUAAAUUUGCAGGAGGCCCAUUGCUGUAGUCAGUGGGGACAUGAUUUCCGUCCUGACUACAAGAGCCUUGCAAUCCUCAAGACUCAGUUUCCUAGUGUUCCUGUCGUGGCGUUGACUGUAAAUGCGAUAUUUCUUCGGGGAAGGUCAAAAUAAACAUACGGAUCCAUGUUCUAGGUUUGUAAAGACUUGCAAUAUCCUUUGCAGGCUACGGCCACUCAGAAAGUCCAAUAUGAUUUAAUGGAGAUGCUGCAUAUUCCAAAAAGUGUCAAGUUUGUUAGCACUGUCAACAGACCAAACCUUUUUUAUAAGGUUCAGUAAAGUGGCUUUUUUCUCACUUUUUCCUGAACAGAUCUUUAUUAUGAGGUUCAAUACUUGUGAAUGUUAAUCUGCCAAGGCUUCUUUUUGUCCAGGUACGAGAGAAGUCCUCUGUUGCCAAAGAGGUUAUUGAUGAAAUUGCUGAAUUCAUUCACGAGUCUUACUCAAACAAUGAGUCUGGUAUUGUCUAUUGCUUCUCACGAAAGGAAUCGAACAGGUUUCUGGCUUCCUGUUUCUAUUAUUCUCGCUGAAUUUGCUGAUGUAGGAAGUUAUUUUCCUGUGUAACUGCAUGACUUUUUCAUGAAAGAAUUAGUCAAUUUUCCUGCAGAGUACAUAGCAAGUUCUUUAUGGUUUCUUCUGUUCAAAAUAUUUUCCCCACCAAAAUAGUGAAUUUACCUUCUAUUUCAACUGGCAUGUACUGACUGUAUUCGGGUAUUAGGAGCCGCUAACUAGAGCUGAUUCAUUUUAUCUCAUUGAAUUCCAACUUUAGCUUAACUUGCUAUCUUGAUUCUUGACACUAAAGGAAUGCUGGAUUUGGUGGCCGUCAUUCUUCUUUCAUUCCUUCUCCAAAGCCCAUUUAUAGUUUUUUUUUAUAAAGACCCAUUUAUAGGUGUAAAACGAGAAGUUAGGCUUUACUGUUUUUCUGGACUGGGAAUUAGUGAAAUUUGAAGCAUGUUCGCCUGCAUGCACUGUGAAUUAUUUGCAUGUGUUCUUGUCCAGCGUUCAUAUAAAUAUUGAUUUCUUGUUGUGUAUAUGUAAUUAGUAGGUUGCUGCAGAAUUACGUACACGGGGAAUUUCAGCUGAUUACUACCAUGCAUACAUGGAUCCCGAUUCACGUGACAAAGUGCAUAUGAGGUACCAUUAUUGUGCUGUGAUAGUUAUUCUUAAAUUGUAGUUUAUGUAUCGUAGAUUUAAGAGAAUAGACCGCUCUUAUUAUUACGAUAGCCGGUAGGCAAUAGGGUAUAUAUACACAAGUCUUCAUAUGAGACUUAUCUACUCUAGGAAUCCUAUUAGGAGAUAGUUACCUAAUAAUAUAUACUAUAGUUAAUACAAUUACUAUAGGGAAAUGGAAAUAUAUAUCCUAAUUAGGAACUACAUAGGAUUAUCUACACUCCUCCUCAAGCUUGGUGUAGAUAUUCACAAGACCAAGCUUGGACUUGAAGUACUUUAGGUGCUCGUGUGAUAGAGCCUUUGUGAGAACAUCGGCUGUUUGUUGCUUGGAAGGANNNNNNNNNNNNNNNNNNNNNNNNNNNNNNNNNNNNNNNNNNNNNNNNNNNNNNNNNNNNNNNNNNNNNNNNNNNNNNNNNNNNNNNNNNNNNNNNNNNNNNNNNNNNNNNNNNNNNNNNNNNNNNNNNNNNNNNNNNNNNNNNNNNNNNNNNNNNNNNNNNNNNNNNNNNNNNNNNNNNNNNNNNNNNNNNNNNNNNNNNNNNNNNNNNNNNNNNNNNNNNNNNNNNNNNNNNNNNNNNNNNNNNNNNNNNNNNNNNNNNNNNNNNNNNNNNNNNNNNNNNNNNNNNNNNNNNNNNNNNNNNNNNNNNNNNNNNNNNNNNNNNNNNNNNNNNNNNNNNNNNNNNNNNNNNNNNNNNNNNNNNNNNNNNNNNNNNNNNNNNNNNNNNNNNNNNNNNNNNNNNNNNNNNNNNNNNNNNNNNNNNNNNNNNNNNNNNNNNNNNNNNNNNNNNNNNNNNNNNNNNNNNNNNNNNNNNNNNNNNNNNNNNNNNNNNNNNNNNNNNNNNNNNNNNNNNNNNNNNNNNNNNNNNNNNNNNNNNNNNNNNNNNNNNNNNNNNNNNNNNNNNNNNNNNNNNNNNNNNNNNNNNNNNNNNNNNNNNNNNNNNNNNNNNNNNNNNNNNNNNNNNNNNNNNNNNNNNNNNNNNNNNNNNNNNNNNNNNNNNNNNNNNNNNNNNNNNNNNNNNNNNNNNNNNNNNNNNNNNNNNNNNNNNNNNNNNNNNNNNNNNNNNNNNNNNNNNNNNNNNNNNNNNNNNNNNNNNNNNNNNNNNNNNNNNNNNNNNNNNNNNNNNNNNNNNNNNNNNNNNNNNNNNNNNNNNNNNNNNNNNNNNNNNNNNNNNNNNNNNNNNNNNNNNNNNNNNNNNNNNNNNNNNNNNNNNNNNNNNNNNNNNNNNNNNNNNNNNNNNNNNNNNNNNNNNNNNNNNNNNNNNNNNNNNNNNNNNNNNNNNNNNNNNNNNNNNNNNNNNNNNNNNNNNNNNNNNNNNNNNNNNNNNNNNNNNNNNNNNNNNNNNNNNNNNNNNNNNNNNNNNNNNNNNNNNNNNNNNNNNNNNNNNNNNNNNNNNNNNNNNNNNNNNNNNNNNNNNNNNNNNNNNNNNNNNNNNNNNNNNNNNNNNNNNNNNNNNNNNNNNNNNNNNNNNNNNNNNNNNNNNNNNNNNNNNNNNNNNNNNNNNNNNNNNNNNNNNNNNNNNNNNNNNNNNNNNNNNNNNNNNNNNNNNNNNNNNNNNNNNNNNNNNNNNNNNNNNNNNNNNNNNNNNNNNNNNNNNNNNNNNNNNNNNNNNNNNNNNNNNNNNNNNNNNNNNNNNNNNNNNNNNNNNNNNNNNNNNNNNNNNNNNNNNNNNNNNNNNNNNNNNNNNNNNNNNNNNNNNNNNNNNNNNNNNNNNNNNNNNNNNNNNNNNNNNNNNNNNNNNNNNNNNNNNNNNNNNNNNNNNNNNNNNNNNNNNNNNNNNNNNNNNNNNNNNNNNNNNNNNNNNNNNNNNNNNNNNNNNNNNNNNNNNNNNNNNNNNNNNNNNNNNNNNNNNNNNNNNNNNNNNNNNNNNNNNNNNNNNNNNNNNNNNNNNNNNNNNNNNNNNNNNNNNNNNNNNNNNNNNNNNNNNNNNNNNNNNNNNNNNNNNNNNNNNNNNNNNNNNNNNNNNNNNNNNNNNNNNNNNNNNNNNNNNNNNNNNNNNNNNNNNNNNNNNNNNNNNNNNNNNNNNNNNNNNNNNNNNNNNNNNNNNNNNNNNNNNNNNNNNNNNNNNNNNNNNNNNNNNNNNNNNNNNNNNNNNNNNNNNNNNNNNNNNNNNNNNNNNNNNNNNNNNNNNNNNNNNNNNNNNNNNNNNNNNNNNNNNNNNNNNNNNNNNNNNNNNNNNNNNNNNNNNNNNNNNNNNNNNNNNNNNNNNNNNNNNNNNNNNNNNNNNNNNNNNNNNNNNNNNNNNNNNNNNNNNNNNNNNNNNNNNNNNNNNNNNNNNNNNNNNNNNNNNNNNNNNNNNNNNNNNNNNNNNNNNNNNNNNNNNNNNNNNNNNNNNNNNNNNNNNNNNNNNNNNNNNNNNNNNNNNNNNNNNNNNNNNNNNNNNNNNNNNNNNNNNNNNNNNNNNNNNNNNNNNNNNNNNNNNNNNNNNNNNNNNNNNNNNNNNNNNNNNNNNNNNNNNNNNNNNNNNNNNNNNNNNNNNNNNNNNNNNNNNNNNNNNNNNNNNNNNNNNNNNNNNNNNNNNNNNNNNNNNNNNNNNNNNNNNNNNNNNNNNNNNNNNNNNNNNNNNNNNNNNNNNNNNNNNNNNNNNNNNNNNNNNNNNNNNNNNNNNNNNNNNNNNNNNNNNNNNNNNNNNNNNNNNNNNNNNNNNNNNNNNNNNNNNNNNNNNNNNNNNNNNNNNNNNNNNNNNNNNNNNNNNNNNNNNNNNNNNNNNNNNNNNNNNNNNNNNNNNNNNNNNNNNNNNNNNNNNNNNNNNNNNNNNNNNNNNNNNNNNNNNNNNNNNNNNNNNNNNNNNNNNNNNNNNNNNNNNNNNNNNNNNNNNNNNNNNNNNNNNNNNNNNNNNNNNNNNNNNNNNNNNNNNNNNNNNNNNNNNNNNNNNNNNNNNNNNNNNNNNNNNNNNNNNNNNNNNNNNNNNNNNNNNNNNNNNNNNNNNNNNNNNNNNNNNNNNNNNNNNNNNNNNNNNNNNNNNNNNNNNNNNNNNNNNNNNNNNNNNNNNNNNNNNNNNNNNNNNNNNNNNNNNNNNNNNNNNNNNNNNNNNNNNNNNNNNNNNNNNNNNNNNNNNNNNNNNNNNNNNNNNNNNNNNNNNNNNNNNNNNNNNNNNNNNNNNNNNNNNNNNNNNNNNNNNNNNNNNNNNNNNNNNNNNNNNNNNNNNNNNNNNNNNNNNNNNNNNNNNNNNNNNNNNNNNNNNNNNNNNNNNNNNNNNCAUUUUCUGAGUGUAGAGGCAGUUCUGGUUCAACUGUAUCUUCCACAUCAGCAAGACUUUCUGCAGUUGUAAUCUCCUCAGAGUUCGUAGGAGUUGUUCUUCUCCUUUGUUAGUACACGUGUUGAAUAGCUGAUUGUUGUCUCUCCUCGGGUUCAGGUUGAGAACUUGGUAAGGAGACCACAACCUGAGGCAUUACUGUUCAACCUCCAUAGGAAUUAACAUGUCCAGAGUUUCUUCUCCUGCCACUCUCCCCUUGACGCUCUGGAUUGCCAUAAUAUCCGAAGGUCUCAAAGAAGGUUACAUCCAUGGUGGUGAAUACCUUAUUUGUGGAUGGAGAAUAACACUUGUAGCCGUGUUGGCGAGGUGCAUAUCCAAUGAACACAAAUUUCUGUGCACGUGGAUCAAGUUUUUUCUGUUGGUGUUGUUGAAUGUGGACAACCGCAAGGCACCCGAAUACCUUCGGGUCCGUAGCUGACAUAUAAGCUCGCACAUGUGGAUGUCUGCACAAGCACAUCCUUUGGGGUCUAGUAGUUUAAGACUCAACAUGGUAGUCUGUUGAUUAGGUAGGUAGUUGUUAGGACAGCCUCUCCCCAUAAGUGUUUCGACACAUGUUUAGUGAACAUUAGUGCCCUAGCAGUCUCAAGAAGGUGUCGGUUCUUACGUUCUGUAAUACUAUUCUGCUGUGGGGUAUGAACACAAGAACUGUAGUGUAUGACUCCUCGUUGAGAGAGAUAGGUUCCUAGUUCUGAGUUAAAAUAAUCAUGAAUGUAGAUUUAAGAGAAUAGACUGCUCUUAUUAUUAUGAUAGCCUGUAGACAAUAGGGUAUAUAUACACAAGUCUCCAUAUGAGACUUACCUACUUUAGGAAUCCUAUUAGGAGAUAGUUACCUAAUAAUAUAUACUAUAGUUAAUACAAUUACUAUAGGGAAACAGAAAUACAUAUCCUAAUUAGGAACUACAUAAGAUUAUCUAUUAUCUACAUGUAUGUUUCCUGGCCAAGACAAUGGAUUAAUAAUAUUAAAAAUUGAACGCAAUUCUACCUUGAGCUACGAUAAAUUUCUUGGGGGGUACUUGGAAAAUCAAACUGAGGGAAUAAAAAUUCGUGUAGAAAGUAACUAAUUUUUAUAAAAGGGACAAUGUUAACGUUUAAUUGAACAUGAGAAAGGAAGGUUGUAAAGUUAUUACAAUUACAUCAAUACUAUCAGUAGGAACUACUUUUUUCUGGCUAAGAUUGUUAUUAUCUUGCAUCCCUAAUGAACUAGACUCUCUCUUUAUUGCAUGCUGCAUUGCUGCUGGAUAAGUAUAAAGAUAACUCUCUUUAUUGCAUGCUGCGUAAGUAUAAGAUUGAGCCCUGGGCUGGAAAGUUAUUCUGAAAGAGGAAGGAAUAUUUUCCCAUAAGUCCUCUAAAGGGUAUCAUAUUUGGGCAAACACAAAAGAAUAACUGAAUUAUAGACAGAGUCCACAGUGGCAACCGUAAAUUAAGUUUCUAUAUUUACUUAGUUUUUGUGUGAAAAUCGAUUGAUCUAUAUUUCCUAUGUCUGAUGCUGCCUUCAGGCACCUUACUGUACAUUGCUAGGUUUUUAAUGUCUACCGCUUUAUAGGCUUUUCUAAUUCCCUUUCCCAUUCCCUAAUUAAAUUAUGUCUUGCUUCUUUAAUCUAUGCUGAUGAAGGAGACUUCAAUUUUGUGUUUCUUGUGCACGUUUGCUCUAUAACUUACAAUUUGAGUGGCCUCAUGACACAGGUGGAGCAAGAAUAAGUUGCAGGUUAUUGUUGGCACGGUAGGUGAAAUAUAAGAUGACGGCAUUUCAUUUUGUUUUAUCUCAACCCUAAUUUUUUGUUUGUGUGCCAGGUAGCAUUUGGUAUGGGAAUCAACAAACCUGAUGGUAAAUGCAUUCCUGUUUUCUGGCUAGUGACUACUUAAUUGCACGUCUGCACAUAUAUGGUCGUGUAUCUAAUUCCCGGUUGAUGUUUGUAGUUAGGUUUGUUAUACAUCACAGCUUGAGCAAAUCAUUGGAGACAUAUUACCAGGUUUCACCCUCUUGCCUGCUUAACUAGUCUUUCUCGUGUUCUCUUCUUAUAUAUCUCCCCUGACUUCAGGAGAGUGGUAGAGCUGGACGAGAUGGGCUACCUUCUGAAUGUCUAAUAUUUUUCAGAUCUGGUGAUGUUCCAAGGCAGGUAAUAUCUCUCUCUUAUUGCCAUUUGGUUUCUACAGCAUUAUGCUUGACUAUUUUUGGAUUCAUCGCUGCACAGAGCUCGAUGGUCUUCUACGAGAAUUCUGGACUGCAGAAUCUCUAUGAUAUAGUACGAUAUUCCCAGGUAAAGCUCUCAUGGUGUUUUAUAUGCAUGCAUGCCUGCUAUAUGGCCUCGCUACUAUGAUAGUCAUAAAAUAAACCACAUGAAGAAAUCUCAUGGACCAUUAAAGUUCGACUGAAUGUUAGAACUUUUGCUUGAGGUAGUCUACAUAAAAGUAAUCCUGCAUAUACUUGUAAUCGAGAGUAGCAGAAAUGCCUGUUAUCAUUCCUCCCUAUCUGGCCUCUAAGUUUUAUGUACUAAACUCGAUAACCAAAUUCCUUGCCUUCUUUGGUCUGUUUACCUCCGAUGUACAUGUUGCUGAUGAAUGGAUUAUUGAUCACCUCUUUUCUUCAAAUUGUAGUCGAAAAGGCAGUGUCGCCGAGCUGCAUUCUUUCGACAUUUUAGUGAGCCACUGCAGGACUGUAAUGGUAAAAUUUGGUGUUGGUUACUGUAAUGAAAUUUUGACACUUGAUUACUGCAUACUAAUCUUUUCUUUUUGCAGGGAUGUGUGAUAACUGUGCUUUUUUGAAUGAGAUUGAUUAUAGAAGUUGAUGUUUCCAGUAAGUUUCUUUCCCUAGCAAUCUGGUAAAUUUAAUCGAGUCCUCUAUUAUCCUCUUCAAUUCAGAAAUUUUUUUCUUCAAUUCAGAAAUUUGUUGAGUACUUGUUUGUCCGUUUGCCAUUUCCUGUGCCUUAUGUCAUACUUGUAAUCACAAUGUUUAACAGCGGGUGAAAGAAAAAUCACGAUUCACUUCUUCUUUCCUUUUUCUAGAAUCUACGCGAGUAGUGCAUUUUCCGGUGCUCAUAUGCAAGUAACCAUUUUAUGUAGAAUCAUAGUCCCACAAAUGACAGAUGGGAAUCCCACAAGUGACUGUAAUUAUAAAAGUCCCACUAGUAACUCGCAAUUUAUAAAAGUCCCACAAGUGAUUGCAGAUUUGCAGUUAAGACAUGACAACUUUUCUUAUCCAGAUUACGCGUCUUCAGCUUGACCCCUCUGUUAAAUCCAAUUAUUCGCUUACAUAAUUCCUUAUUUGAGCAGUCCGUUGAAACAACGUUUGAAACAUACAAAUGCAUUUAUGUGGUGACAGUUAAUAUUUGGUAUUCUAUGCAGAUUAUGCAGUUGCUUUUGUCUCAUUGCUGAAAAAUGUGAUGGAGAACGAUCAAAGAUUAACGACGCUACAAUUACUAGACAAAAUGAAACCCAGGCAUAAGGAACUAGGUUGGUUCUCUGCCUUGUUCUUUAGGCGUUAGAAUAAACCUUUUUUCUACUUGCCUUAGACUUUCACGUUUACACUCUUAGUAAACAAUUGCGGUGUCUUUGUUCUCUGUGCAAAACUGGUUGCGUUUAUCCAAUAUGCGCGAGCUGAAAUUUGUGUGUUCUCUGUAUCUCAUAGGAUCUACCUUAAAAAGGGAUGAAAUGGAGCAGCUUGUAUUGCAGCUUAUACUUGAUCGAGUUCUGGUAAUUAAUUUUUUCUUCCUUAGUAGAGCACUUUGGAUAAUGGACGAUGACAGUUUCUUAGAGACACUACUUGCUUGAUUAUGUGGUCGUGGUCGGCCUUUCUUCGUUCUUCCCAUUUGGAAACUGCUUCAAGAAGAUUCCUUAACGUGUGCUUUGUUUUCUUAUGUCACGGUUGGACCGUUGGCAAAUCAAGUGCUGCAAGGUAGGAUUCCUAUAUUUUACUAAUGAUUGUGGGUUCCCUUUCUGAAUUGUCAAUUACCACACACAGGAAAGAAGGCUGUCAAGAUGGAGACUUGUAGCAAACAGAAGAUCAAGGCUGGAGAUAUAAGAUCAGUGAAACACAGAUUGUCUGGGUUAGGGUCCAAAAUUGAUGAGCUGCGGAAAGAGCUCUCUUUGAAUCAUGGUGGGAAAUUCCCUCAUUCUGUGUUGUCCAGUCAGCAGAUGAGCAUGAUCAGCUCCCAAAAGCCCAACUCAAUAGAAGAGGUAAAAAUCAUGGCAAGUAUUGGAAAUGCAGGGAGGGCCUUUUCAAGCAUAUAUGUAGUGCUUUUGAUGCAUCCUUUUGUUGUUGCUGCAGUUGGAGAAGAUAAUUGGAAAACUGAAAGCUGAUAAGUACGGGGACAGGAUUCUGGAAGAGGUUAAGAAUUAUGGAGGUUCUGAAGAUGAACCUGAAAGCUCAACGUUGAAGGAUGAAGCAAGCGGUGAUAAGAGGGCCAGUAAGAGACAGAAGACCAGAAAGAAUGUGGUGGUCGUUGAUAGCGAUGAAGACGAGCCAUGAAGCAUUAUUGUUAGCUGCAGUAGAAACACUCUACAUUGUAGAACGUAUCCAUGACACAAACUCACAUUCCUUGCGAAACAUUGCUACAUAGGGAUUGCUAUAAGAUGCCAUAUAUAGAAUUACGCGAAUGCUCUUCGAACCUAAUGUUUAAAUACACACGAUCUAACUCGGAACAAAUUCAUGACCUAACUCGCUCCGUCUGAUCGCCCUGCCGCCACCAAUUCUGAAAAAACAAAGGCGUCGCCAUUAAAUGGUGCCAAUAUUACUAUCACUUGCGCCAUUAACGCCAUUUAAUGGCAUUGAGAGAAGUCCGACAACACCUUUAGGCAUUCGUGUCAUUUCAAGUCUCGAUUUCAAAUGUUAAAGUGUUUUGUUGUAAAACUUAAGGCGUUGUAUAGCAUUUCAGUAUUCUAUUCAAAUCAAGGAAACCUUUUUACCCAAAUACAACACAUUUUAUUAAAAGCAUCGCAAGUGCAACCUUUACUACAUGAGUUACCAGUUAUCUACAACAACACACAUCAAGUCCAGUUUAGUCUUGAUGGUAAAUGAUCUGUAUCCUAUUCUGUAAGAAAACGAGUAUGUGGCCAGAUCUGAAAGACAAAAACCGGCUUAUCCGACCGACCCUUCAAGCUUCAAGCUCAUCAGCUGAUUCACCUCUGCCCCAAAUUCAUCUGGAAGCUCAUUGAACACAUCUCUACAAAACCCUGAUAUCAUUGCAGCCAUUGCUCUUUCGUAGUCUACCCCCCUCUGCUGAAAGUAGAACAGCUGAUCCUCCCCGAUUUUUGACGUGCUCGCUUCAUGUUCUACCCUUGCUGUUGGAUUCUUCACCUGUUUUUAACCACCAUCAGUAACUGUAUUCAUAGUUCCAUAGAAGAUGAUAACUGCUACAGAAAUGAAUACGAACAAACAUAUGUCCGUGUGAAAAUAGCUACACAAUCCUCCAGUAUAUACACUCAAAGGUACAUGGCCAUCCAUCCACCUACAGAAUAUCUCAGUUUUCCCACCAAUAAGAAAACUAGAGGACAUCAAUUCUUACAGGCGCAACAGAUUUGAUUGCAACAAAAAUUCCUGACAGCCGGAAAAUAUUUUUAAGAUAGAAACAAAAGAGUAUCCAAACAGCAUGGUCAAUUUUCCUAACUUACUAUGGCAUCAACUCCCGCUCUAACGAACUCUUUUAUAGCUACCAAACUCCAAAAGACAGAUGGGAAAAUGACCUCGAGAACCAGUUCUAGCAUAGGUUCUUCUUGAAAUCGGUGAACACAGAAAACUUUCAUAAGAAUUUGAUACGCGACAAAGGUAUUGGCUUGGUCAGGGAAGAUGGGUGAGGUUGUCAAUUGUCAUGCGUGACUGCUGAUCCACACAUACAAACAGUAGAACACCAAUUGCCUUUCAUAUGAUGCGAGAUACCGCAUACGAUACAUGAUACAUGUAGAUAAUAAAAUCUGUAGUGAAAUGAAGAAAUCGAAGAAUUAUACCUGGAUAUAAGGAUAGGUAUUGGCGGCUGCAGUAUCACCAAUAAGCAUCGAGUCGCACUGAGAUGAGUUGCGGGCAUUUUCUGCUUUUGACUGAAUCUGGACAAGCCCCCUGUAACAGUUUCUUGAAUGGCCAACCGAAAUACCCUUUGAUAUAAUUCGACUCUUUGUAUUUUUCCCCUUGUGGAUCAUCUUCGUUCCUGUAUCCGCCUGUUGGUAAUUAUUGGUCAAAGCAACUGAAUAGAACUCUCCUACAGUGUCAUCACCUUCCAAGACGACACUAGGGUACUUCCAAGUAAUUGCAGAGCCCGUCUCCACCUGAGUCCACGAUAUCUUAGAUCGGUCCCCAGCACAAACUCCGCGCUUGGUAACGAAAUUAUAAAUGCCGCCUCUGCCUUCCUCAUCGCCAGCAUACCAGUUCUGCACCGUGGAGUAUUUAAUCUCGGCACUCUCACCACAGUAUAACUCAACAACAGCUGCAUGAAGCUGGUUAGUAUCAUAGGAAGGAGCAGUACAACCUUCUAAGUACUCAACGAAACUCCGAUCAUCAGCAACAAUCAAAGUCCUCUCGAACUGGCCCGUUUCCAUGGCGUUGAUUCUAAAGUAGGUGGAAAUCUGCAUGGGGCAUUUGGUAUCCUUGGGUAUAUAGAGAAAUGAACCAUCACUGAACACUGCAGAAUUAAGAGCUGCAUAAUAGUUAUCCUCAAUAGGUACAACUUUCCCCAAAUACUUCUUCACCAAAUCAGGAUACUUGUUCACAGCUUCGGAUAUAGAACAAAAGAUAACACCAGACUUCUCUAAAGUCUUCCUAUGGGUUGUAGCUAUGGAGACGCUAUCAAGAACAGCAUCAACAGCAACAUUAGCCAAUCUAUUCUGCUCAUUGAGAGGCACACCCAGUCUAUCGAAGUACUUGAGAAGCUCCGGGUCAGCUUCAUCAAGACUAUUCAAAGUAGGUUUCUUCUUAGGUGCAGAAUAAUAGCAAAGGUCUUGGAAGUUAAUGGGCGGGUAUCGAUUGUCAGACCAGUUAGGCUCUUUCAUGAGCAAGAAUUUGCGAAAAGAUUUCAAUCUGAAAUCAAGCAUCCAGUCAGGUUCCUGCUUCAACUUGGAAAUGGACCUGAUUGUGUCUUCGGAAAGACCCUUGGGGAUGGAAAAGGAGUCGAUAUCGACAGUAAAGCCGAAUUUCUCCUUGUAAUCGCGAUUGCGAAGAAUUUCCUUGAUUUUGUCAUCGGAGGAGGUGAGAGUAGAAGUUGAAGAAGAGAGAGUACCUGGUCCUGAAUCGGUGAGAUCUGCUCGGAUUUUGAGUGUCCUGGAAGGCCUUGAGGGUUUGAAGAACUUGGAUGAAUCGGAGAUGGGCUGGGAAGAGAAGCAGGGGAUACCGUUGGUCAAAAGAGACGACGCCAUCUGGUAGUUGAAAGCUUUGUUUUUUUCCAGAUGAAAUUAAUAGAACUCAAACAUGGAUAUCCGUAUUCUUUUAGGGAUUAGGCAUUGGCGGCCAUUGUAGUUUUGGGUAUGUAACAUCUUGAUCACUAGACCUUUUUUUAACUCAGGUUUUUCUUAGAUGACUAAUCGUAUACAUUUUCGUUCGAAUUAAGUCCAUCAAACGUGCCCUUUCGGCCGUCGAGUAUUAGGUAAUCCGUUAUGCUCAACCCUAUGAGGCAUGCAAUGCUUUUGGUGCAUUCUUUUUGUAGUUUUUGCUGCAAUUGAAGAAGACAAUGGAAAGCUGAUAAAUACAGAAACAAAAUUUUAGAAGAGGUUAAGGAUUACGAAGAUUCUGAUGAGAAAUCUGAUCAGAGCUCAACAUCGAAGGACGAAGCAAGCAAUACUGAGAGGGUAGUAAGAUGAGCCAUUAAACCAUUAUUAUUAGCUCUACAGACACUCUAAGCUUAACUGUUCUGUGCAUUUAUCCAUGGAGUUGCAUGGUUGAUGAAAAGUGACAAAUAAAAAAUAUAUCAGAGCCUGGUUUCGAUCCAGGGACCUGUGGGUUAUGGGCCCACCACGCUUCCGCUGCGCCACUCUGAUAUUCAUGUCAAAAUGAUAUUUUUGUAUGUAAUUAUCUUCAGUUACGUCAUUCUGAAGACAAUGACCACGAUGAAAUACUCGACUGCAGUUCCAAUCCAAAGAAAUAAGAACAGAAUUUGUUUCUGUUUUCAAUUGAAAGGUGUUUAGUUAGUGUUGUAGUGAUGUCACCAUGUCGGGACUAAAGAGAGGACUCAGUAAUGAGGCUACGGUUUUAAUAGCGAUGAAAGUUAUUAACGUACAUUGUGUUAUCCAUAGGCGAUGAUCGUACGAGGUUGACACUGUAAACAGGCACAUGAAUCAGUUCACGAACUCAGCUUUCCGCAUCUGGUUGAACUUAAUAGUGGAUACUGGAUACUUCAACCAAUAUAUAUCUAGUUAUUCACAUGACUAAGCCCCCAUGUACUAGAGAGGGAGGAAAGAAGUAAAACGAACCUGCUUUUUGUUAAGUAGUGCGAGUCAUAACAGGAUCCACCCUAAAGAAAAAGCAAAAAGGCAGAACUACAAAGUGGAAGAUGAUGCGAGGUCUUUAGUCUCGGAAGCGGAGAUUCUUCGCACCAACUUCAUGUAUAGCCUGGAAGGCGACUCUGUACUUUGCAAGAGAUGCGGAGCCAGCUUCAAUGUAACUACUAGCUGCUUCUCUCAAACUCCACUUCAUCAAGGCCUUGAGUUCUUGCGUGUCUGACAACGACUCUGCAUCACGAGGAGUGCCAUACUCGGCAUUCUUGGUCCACCGGUGCAACAUGUACCGGGAUGGAAGUUCCCUUAUCCCAAGCAAGUCCAAGACUUUGAGAGCUUGACGACAGAGCGCACCCCCUCAAAUUUCAAACAUCUUGCAGCUACAGUUGAUGUGAAGAUUCAAUCUAUCAAUGCAAACUGUGUAAUUCUCAUUCUCGCCCCCACAUCUCUGCAGUGAGAAUCUGCUUACUGUCUUUUCUUCGAAUGUCUUUUUCGCAAAGUAAUUGCAGCUUUGCAAUAGUUCUUCCUGAAAUAUCCUGAAUAUAGUGAUGGUGUAAAGCGUUCUGCAGUGGCUCUCUAUUGGUUCUUUUGUAAGCAGAAGAGCUUGCAGACUGCGACAGUUGAAGUCUUCUUUCUGUUCCUCUUCCCUUUGCUGUUCGAGGACUUGCUCGUAUAGUGAAAUGAACUCAUCAGGUUCAGCUUGGACGAGUGAGUUUGAAGAGGAUGGUGAUCUCAGAUCCCCAUUUAUCGGAACGCCUGCAAAGAAUGAUCCUCGCAGGUACCACGGAACCUAACAUUCACGAUUUUCAUACAUUUGCUGAAGCCAGACACUAUCCUCGAGGCCAUGCCGGCUAACAAUAGCAUUCCAACUAGUAGUGAACUCGGAAGGUGUUGAGCUCUGGGGUAUGCACUCCUCAUACUGAGAUCUAAAGUCGUUGGACGUUGAAAUGACUUGAAGAGAAGCGAUAACGUGUCCCCGGAAAGACAUGAGCAACUGAUUGUUGGAUUGCCUCGUCUUGAUUUCCUAUAACAGAUUUCGGGCAGCUUCCGGACAUAGCCUUAUGCCAUGUUUGAAACAACCAUGUGAAUGCCUCCUUUGAUUCGUUUGCAAUUAGAGCACAUCCAAGAAUCACUGGCUGCCUGUGGUGGUUACCUCCAAGAACAUGGCAAAAGGCACUGAUGCGUGGCUCUCCUUCCUGUAUGAAGUAUCACGUACAAUGGCAUCCCCGAAUUGGCUACCUGCAAAUCGUGACCUUCCAUCUGCCCAGAAAAUGCUCUUACAUCUACCAUUAUUAAUCUCCAGACUGUAAAAGAAGCCCGUGUCUUGUGCUUGCCUAGUCUCAAAAUAAUCAAGAAGCAUAGAGUACCAGUCACUUCCGAUUCCAUUCUGAAUCUGGGGAACCCAAUCCACCACUUACCUCAUCCAUCACAGACUCCUCAGCUUUUAGCCCUAUGGCAUGAUUAUGAUCCUUCUCAAAACGAUCUACUAUCCAAGUUCCGUUUGUUUGCAUCUUUAUCCUCAUAACUGCCCCACAUCCAACUCUUAACGGAUGCUAAAAUCCUUCCCUAGAGCACACGAAUUGGCGGGAGGUAAUUGAUCCAUCAUGAUUCGCCCGAGCUCGAAACCCAACCUUGCCUGCAUAAGCCUGAUAAAACUGAUAAGCUUCGUCAGCUUCAUCGAACACUAGCCCCGAUUGUCGCGCAGCACGAUGCUCCGUUCUAAUACGUUUGGCAUUGACAACUUGGGAUAAACAGGGACCGUGAUCAUCGACUUUCUUCCGAAUCUUGACUUUCGCUUUUCGCCUUGGAGCAGACGAUUUUUUCACAGGAACAUAAUUUCUGACUUCAAGAAAGAGAAAUUCAUGGUUAUGAUCCUUCUCCAUUUGGUCAAUCGCCCAUUUACCGGAUUCACGCUGCUUCUGCACCCUUAUGAAUGCCGGACAGCCAUUCCUUGAAUCAAGCUGGAAACCUUCCUGCUGGCACACGUACCUCCUGGAUGCAACAGAUCCAUCUCGAGAGCAAUAAAGCUGUCCGAUUCUGGUUCGAAACCCUAUACGAGUGCCGUACAUUCUGUACAACUCUCGAGCAUCAUCGGCUGAAUCGAAUUCUAGCCCUAUAUAUGGUUCAAUCCCUUUAACAGAGGAGUCCAUCGCACUAGCUAUCCCUGCUGAGUGUGGUUUCGAAUUCAAGUUGUUACCGAGCACGUCGACAUAAAGAUCAGCCUCUGAGCUGCUGCAUAUUCAUUGAACACAUUCAAAACUCAGCGUCUUUGAUUCUAUUGGCAAAAUAAAACACUUAAUUAGUGUCAUCAGGAAAGCGACUACCUACUAUGCAACUUAGCUUAUUGCCAAUCAGAAAACCCUAGUGCCGCCCAAGCAAAAACACUACGAAACAACGAGAAGUAAUUACAAUUCACAAAGCCAAACCUUUUCAAUCAAAGUUACUUAUUGGGAAAAGAAAAGGCUUCAAAUUUUGUUAUUUUUUUAUACAAAAACAAAGGGUUUCCUGCUGGUGAUGAAAUUGCAACUCAGAACGGGAACCCAGAAAUCCAAAGGGAGAAGUGUCGGGAUCACAACGGCCGAGAGAGAAGAUGGAAUCAAAGGAUUGAAAGAUGGUUACUUUCAACCUCAAAGAGUAUGAUUACCAUUAUAAAUCCACCAAAAAUGAACGUGACGAAGAGAGACUCACAACGAUUUUACUCCGCUAUGAUGGAAAGAGUUGACGCCUCACAAGGGGUUUAAAUAGAUUGAUAACAUGCUUUUCUAAUAAGAAUAAGACCUUAAUGGGUGUUUGGCUCAUAAACUAUGAAUUUGGUAAAUUAAAGUCCAACACUUCAAUAACUAGAUCAAGAUCAUUCAUUUAUCAGCUCUUUUUAAGCCAAUAGCUCAGCUUAAGAAGUCGAAGCCAAUUUUUCACAAGGACAAAGCAAAGUCCAAGUUUAAGCUACUUACAGCUGAGCUUGACGCAGAAGUAUGGCUUCUGGUCGACGCCCCCGACCUUAAUGAUGGCAGACCCUCGAUUUUCCUGUUCUUCGGAGUACUUGGAUGGGAUUUUCUUAUACAACUACCAUCAUCAAGUGCCUGCGAAUUCGUAGAUUAAAAGACACUUCCAAAAAAACUUUAAUCAUUCAACUCUUUGAGUUUGUGCAACACCUCAUGAAGAACCAUUAUUACUUUGUCUUGAAUCGGUUUGUUUGCAGUGAUUGCAGCCUGAGGCAAGAGGUCUGGAGAUUAAAAAAAAAAACAUUUUAACCUUGGGAAUAACAGAGAUGAGCAUUCUUCCAAAAGGCCGCAUUUUUAGUUUCCAUGGACAGCUAUAUAAGCAUUAUUACAAGUAUGCAGGCACAGUGGUACUUGGUCAGAUCCAGUUUUCUUAAAUGGUCACAUCCCAAAACUAUUAACAAUUCCCAUUACUUAGGAGCGCUAUAUACAUUACCAGACCACCUCCUCAACUAAUGUUGCAUUCCCUAGGAUCUUCAGCAGAAGAUGCUUCUGCCUCUGGGAAACCUACAGCAUAUCCAUCACUGUCCUCUAAAUCAAACCUGCUCUCGAAAUAUGCCACUGCUUCAUUCCUCUGGAGCCUCAAUAUCCUCAUUAUCACAUCUGGAGUCAGGUACACCUGCGAAUGGUCUUCCCUACCUUGCUUGUUCGACUCCAUAAUCUGUUCACCGGACAUGCACCAGGAUACAUAUACAUAAAUCAUCACUUGGAUUUAUGUGCAGUAAUAAUAGUUAAGUAUGCAAGGUUAUUUACCUUUUCUAUAUUUUCUGGUAACGGAGGAGAUCCAGAUGUGCUGGGAACCCAGAGCUUAACAGUUUUCUCUAUCCCACAACUUGCAAACAUAGGCAUACAAGGAUGCGGCUCAAUUUGGUUAACUACGUGGCGAUCGCCAAACAUUACUCGAACAAGCCUUGAAUCCUGCUUCUUCCAGAUAAAUAUGUGACCACAAUCAGAUCCCGUUGCCACAUACUCGUCAUUCAGGCCCAAGAAACUGACCCCUUUAACUGUCUGUGAAUUCCUGUGUCCCAUGUAGACUUGUGGCCCUUCAAGUUUCUCCAACUCUUGUGCUGACAAAGCAGAUGGAUUUGGACCCAUCCCCAUGUUCUUUUGGAAUAAAUAAAUAAGUUCAUCAUUGUAAGAGACCAGAAGUUCACUUGAGUUGGAGUAAGCCAAUGCAGUAAUAUGCACGCUGUUGUUCUUGAUCAAGUGACUGGGACACAAGGUAUCAAUAGGCGAGUCACCAUUGCUCGAUGAAUUCCAUCGACAUUUUCUUACAUCAUAUACACGAGCAUAUUCAUCAGAACCUCCUAUGCUGAAAUAAUUUGGUUUCCUUGGAUCAAUAACAAUUGCAUUUAACCUGAUCUUCUUCAGAUUCUGUUUGUCAGUCUCUCUCAGCUGGGAGCAGCAAAAGAGCCUUGUGCAAGAAGCACUACGGAGAUCAAACUGUCAAAAUUCACAGCAAAAACCUGCUGUCAGAUGUUGACUAUGACAAAGAAAAAGCAUUUCGCAAAUGUGAUCAUGUUCUUAAUUUUGACUGACAUGUUGCACAACGCCAUCUUCACCGCAGCUAUAAAGUAUGUGAGGACUUCCUGGCUCCACAGCAAGGUUAUGUGCACGCCCUUCAUGUUUCCCCAGCCUCUUUGUAUCCACAGUGCCAUCUCCUGUUACCUGGCCUAGCCGAACCUGUAAGGGUAGCACUGAUGCAGUUGAUUGUCAAGCUUGCUACUAACGAACUCAAUCCAUACCUCCCCGCAAAUGCAUUGUUGAAAACUAACAUGAUGCUACUUGUAAUUUCUGAAUAACCUCAAAAGGAAAUUACAUAAUAAAAAAAUACCACAAAUGAGUUAGCCAUUAGUGUCAAUUCACCUGUCCAUCAGCAGAGGAAGUAACUAUCGUCUGAUCAUCAGUGAGAGGCAUGAUUUUAGUCUGGAAUAUAUUGUCCGAGUGACCAGAAUCAUAUGACAUCUUCUUCUUUUGGGUUGUCCAAUCCCAGAAUAUGACUUGUCUGUCAUCGGAACCAGAUAUGAGAAGAUCCCCAGUGGAGUUGAACUGAAUAGCAUUAACACAUCCAUCAUGACCAACCAACUUCCCGUGAAGAUCAAUUUGUUUCACAAGGACCUGCAAAGUAAAUACAAGCUGAGAUCAAGAUUUGAUAUGCUUCGAAAACUUCAGAAAAGCAAUUUUAACUCGAGUAAGGAGCACACUAUAACUGCAGAUAGGCGAUACAGCCAUUCAUUGAGUACAACUCUUUAUUUUCAAAUCGUCAGAACUCGAUCCGAGGUUCCAAUGCCAAAAGGUGGAGACUUAGUCAGAAAGCUUCAAACCGACGGAAAUCGACCUAAUACCUAAUUACCGUGUUCCAUCAUCCACAAUACAAGAAACAGAUAAAUAUCCACAAGAACCAGGAGGCGGUGUGGGGACAGAGAUAAGACCCAACCUCAGAACCAGAUAAGCGGCGAAAGAAGUAUUUGGGGGAGGACAAACCCACUUCUCGUCUGAAGAUCUCGCCCAAUCCGAGUUUGAUUUUCUUUCGAGGAGUCGUCUCCAUUUCCAUGGCACAAGUAUAGCUUAUGGGAACAGAGUUCAUCUGGGAACCAUCUAGCAAAGUAAGAAUAAGAAAAUAUAUAAAUGAGAGUAAAUUUAAAACAAAAUGAUCUGUUUUUUGACCAAAAGAAAAACAAUAAUCUGUGGUUAGAUAUUGGGCCACCGCAAUGAAUGCGAGUAGAUUUGACCGAUUAUGGAUUAUGAGUGGGGUUGGUUUUUUUGUUUUGACGGUGUAACUUGGAAGCCUACCCCGAAUCGCGCAUAAAAUUCAGCUAAUCCAGGGGGAGGGGUCCUUUCCGACACAGAGUAGCAAGCCAAUCAGCUUUAAGAGUGGAGCUCUGCGGUCUGUACCGAAUCUUAAUAUAAGGGUUGCAGCAGAGCAGGUCUCGGAUAUGUCCUAGAGUUCCGAAAGCCUCCCAUGGCCAGGAUGGAGGCUCAGAUUCCAUCGCUCGUACACCCGUUUGGCAAUCGGAUACAAUGCACAUUGGGCCAUCAACACCUAAUGCCACAUGGAUUGCUUCAAGGAUAGCACGGCUCUCAGCAGCAAGGGUGGAGUUAAAGCAAAUCAGUCAUGCCACCCCAUCAAUCACAUCACCUGAGGCAUGAAAAACCACGACUUUGAAGGCUGCCUUCUGAGGUGCCUUUGAGAAAGAACCAUCACAGUGUAGUAGCGUGAGGUGGCUACUCGACAAAGGGGGAUUGAUACGAUGGGGAUGGGAAGGUAGGAUUGGGAGGGAUCCGGGGGAAGCAGCUCCCCAAGUCGUUGAGGUUGGAUUCAAUGUCAGCCCUAAUCUUGUAGAGGUCGACCUUGGCUUUUCGGAAAAUGAACUUGUUUCUUCAUUUCCAUAUGUUCCAAGAAAUUGUAGCCUUUCUUGCUUGCGAAGGGGAGGCGGUAUAGGUCGGCUAUGAGGUAAUCCAUUAUAAGAAUUCAUCUGACCCACUAGAAAGAGGUUGGCCGCCUAACCGUUUCGGCUAUCGAUUCGAAAGAAAUAUGUUUGAAGCUCACUUAGGGAUACAACGAGUCGGUUUUGUCAUAAAUUAGAAGUAACAUGCGCUAUGCCUCGAAAAAUGUUUUAGGUAUGGUGCAGAUUUGGGCGAUGCAUGUGUUAGAAAAUUAUGGGAGAAUAACACAAUGGACAUGAGAAACAACCAGUCACGAUUAUAGGAGAGUAAUAUUGUGGACAAGAGAAAGGGUUGAUCAAGGGUUUGUAAAUUUUCAUCUAAAUUGGAGAGGUUGGUCUCCCAUAGGUCAAAAGUACAUUGGGCAAGAAUAUAGGUCGACCAAGAGUUUGUGAAUCGUACAUCAUCAUAAUUAGAGAGUCGAGUCUCCUACAAGAUUACAGCCGACAAGAAAACUGGUCGACCAAGAGUUUAUGAGUCAGCAUCUCAAUAGGAGAGUCGGGUCUCCAAAAGGCCAAAAAUGACAACUCGUGAAUAGGGGCAACGAUCACAAAGCUCCGACAUACCCUCACUUAAGGCUAAAGUCGAUCAUUCUUCUAUAAUGUCGAGGCUCCAAACUGAAAGAAAAGAGACGGGGUGGUAUGAUGAGGAUCUGAUAGAGAUUUGGUGGAGGAGAACAUCGAUGACGUGGAAAAUGAGUUCAUAAAACGGUUUAUCUGCAAUUAAGUGAUCACAAUUUUGUAUCUAAUCGAUAGCCCUAGUUAUGAGAUUUCGUGUCAACCACCUUAAUUGGCCUGGAAUUACAUUGGUUGAUUAAUUAAAUCAAGUAAUUAAACACCUUAUUUUUCUCCUCCCAAUGGCUCUCACUCUCAAAUGGCUUCUCACUCUGCAACUCGUGCUUCCAGUUUGUUUAAAAGAGGAUAAGGAAAAUGUAGAUGAUAGAGCAAGGGGUGAAAUCAGAACCGUAUUGUGUUCACCGUCAAAUGCUCUUCAACAGAACAACAACAGAGUGUUGUAUUUGCUAUGGGUGGAUUACUGACCAUUCACAAAAUAACAACACACCCCAUCUCAGCUCAGCAAUUGACAAAGUAACCAGAACAAGUAGUUUUUGGGUUAAGAACAAGAAGUUGGAUGAUAGAAUCAUAGAACAAUAACAAAAAUUCACAGGAGAGGCAACUCCAGGGACUUAUACUCGGCCUAUACUAGAUGGAUAACGUAAGUAAUUGAAUUAAGUAAUGUGAUUCGUAAGUGCAUCAUUCAUGUUAAAAUGAUCGAUGAUGAAUUUACCAGAGUAAACUUUUAACAUGACAAGAUAAAAAAAAUCAAGAUUAAAUAUUAAUUGAAAUUAAAUAGAGUGAUCAUUAAAUUAUUUAAUUUUUNNNNNNNNNNNNNNNNNNNNNNNNNNNNNNNNNNNAUAAUAUAUAAUAAAAUGAGUAGAUUUUGAGCUACUCAUAACUCAAAAUCACAAAAACUAUUAAUGACAAGUAAUUUAAUCACGAAAACAUAUGUUUUAGAGAAGUAUAGUAUUUGUUUGAUGAAUAAAUAUGUGUAGCAUGUGACAAAAUGUUAAUGAUAUUUGGUAAAGUAGUCUAGUACAAAUUCAUGCUCGAUUACGCUUAGAAACGAGCUUGACCUUGACAGGCUUGCAAACGACCUCGGGCUCGAUGAGGCUCAUAAACGAGUUUAAUUCUAAUCGGCUUGAGCUAAAAAAAUGUUGGUUGAGUCAAGUUCGAGUUCGGGUUUAAAUUAACCAAUUGAGUUCGAGCUGGGCAGAGCUCUAUUUGACUCAUGUCAACAGUCCAAUCUCGUGUCAACUACCUUAGUUAUGAGUUAUGACUUAUGAGAUCUCGCGAUAGAACGUGAAAUAAAAAAUAAUGUAUUUAAAUAGUGAAGAGAAUACGAAUACACUGAAAUAUUUAAAAUAUAAAAGAUCGAUUUUAAACUAGCAAAUUCUAUCGACAUUCAAAGAUUAUGGAAGUUAUUGUUUUUUAUUUCAGUUUUGUUUCUGAUGAAAUUUAGUCGUGAAUUGAUUGUGACAGACCAAGGUCCGAUUUAGUAGGAAUACUAAUUAGAGAUUUGGUGUAUUUAUUUGAAGUCAAACGCUUAGUUAUCAUUAAUUAAACAAAAGUAACAACUAAACAAAUAAUCGUUGAUAAAAAUUUGAAAAUUUGUCUGAUAUAAUUUAGACGUUGAAUGGGUUGUGGAGUGAGGCCCGGAUAAUAAUAAUGGGUUUGGGCCCAACAUUGGUUGGAAUACCGGAAAGAAAGAGAUGGGAAGGAGGAUUGGAAGAAAGGGCAACAACAACGCGCUUCUCCGGUGCAUCGGAAUAGAGCCGGUGGGAGAGCUUCCACGCGUUUUCCGCCAGCUAAUCUCCACCACCGCUUCUCUUACUAGCCGUUAGGCGUUACCCAAUAUAAUGAUUCAUUCAGAUCCCCAGGAAAGUUACGCUCACCGGAACAUAUCGCUUUGUCCCCUCUCUCUGUCUCUCUGUGUCUCUCGCUCUCGCUCUUCUUCUUCUUCUUCAUUGGAAUUUUCUUGCGAUAUCUUGCUGCUACUGCCACUACUACGCCUUCUGCUUCAGUUGAAUCUAGACUUCUCUUCGUCAGAUUCUCCGACUCGCUCAGAACUGGAACUAGGGUUCUUGCUUUCGAAAUCAAAAAUGGAGGAGGAACAACAAGUACCGCAACCGCCUCAACGUCUCUCGACGCCCCCUCUGGGUUACCACCCUUUCAACCCGUCUGAAGAGGAACUGUUAAGGUACAGAAAUCAUCAUAAAACCAGUGGCAAGAGAAAGUUUGAUGCUGCUGCGGGUGGCUGUUCCCCACAGCCAUCUUCAAAGGUUCCUAGACUCUGUGAUGAUGGAGUUAGUCUUUCUUCUUCUUCUAUGCCAACAACUCAGUCUCACAACUCCGAGAAUCAAAUACGUUGUUAUAUUGAUCCUGAUGUUUGGGCAUUCCUUGAGGAAGUGAGAGAACUGAACAGCAAGUCCAGUCCCUCGUCGAAAAUCUCAGUCUCUGUCCCAUAUCCCUUUCAUCAGAUUCUUCCUUCAACUCUAAGGUAACUUUAAUUGGUUGCAAGAUCUACCCUUACCUGAUUUCCUACUUGAGUGCGAUUAGACUAUUUCUUUCUAGAUUUGUUUUGUGAACCCAGAACCCUUAAUCUCAAGUGUAAUAGGUUGUUCAAUAUUGAAGUUGAAUGUUACUUUGACAUGAUACCUGGAAAAUGAAACUUGUCUCUCAAGUCCUACAUAUAUUGAUUGUUAUUGAUGCCUGAAUUGCUUGCCAACUCUCUAUGUUUCUUUAGAUCUAACACAAAUUGCAUAAUCUUCAUUACUCUUCUACCUGAGUUGCUUUCAUUACUCUUCUACCUGAGUGAGUUGCUUCCUGUUUAGUUCACUAAUCACAUAUCUAGGCUUACAUUCUUGUAUGCGAAACUGUUAUGGCAAUGAACCUGAGUGUCUAAUGGUAGGUUUAUGAUUAUUUAGUUGAAUUGGUCGUUGGUAGGAGUCCUUCUUCCCUUAAUCAGGAUUUUGAAUGUGGUUUCUAGGUUAGUUUCUGUAGUUGUUUUGAUGCCUUUGUAAUGUAAGUCUGUAAGGCAACUAAGAAAUUAUUCUCACCCCUAGAGAAUUCAGUUUUGAAAAAUGUUAGUCAUGUGCAUCUUUUUAUAUCUGUGUUGAUGUGAUUUAAUUUGAAAUGCUGUGUUUUAAAUUGAAAAAAACAUGAAAUGUUAUUUCUAUCUCCAUAAAUUGCCCAUCCGCUGAUUGGACAAGAUAGUUCAAAAUGAUGCAAAUCGUUGAGUUAGAUUUUGGUAUUCCAGAUUUAUGAACUUCCUGCCUGAGAGUCCCUUUAAUCUGAUACACAAUCAUUAAAUAUGUGCUCUGAAAACUUCAUCUUGUUAAGCUGUUAAAUGAUGAUAUUGAUGAAAUAUCCAGACAACCCGACCUGUGGAAACAUAUGAAACACGAUACCCUAAAUGGUAAAUUCCUUUUGUUAGGUCCUCUGCAAAAUCAUGUACAGAGUUUACCUGAUUGGAGAAGAUAGUUCAAAAUGAUGCAAAUAUUUGGUAUUUCAGAUUUAUGAACCUCCUGCCAGAGAGUCAUUUUAAUCUGAUACAAACAACGGUUACCUGAUUGAAUAAUCUUCUCCUUUGUCUCGCUAUGUGUUUGCCAUGAGGGCAGAGCUAUCUCCUUCCCUCACAUGAUUGCUAGUUGAUGUGUUUCCAUAAGGUUGUGUCGUUUGGUUUUGGUUUCUAUUUCAAACUGAACAUAAUAUUAGUAUCAUGGUUGUGCACCAAAUUCUGAAAGUUGCUGGUCCCUCCAAGCCCAUGCUUCUUGCAUAAGGCUGAUAUGGUAAGCACCCCCAAUACCUAUGCUUCUUGCAUAAGGUUGAUAUGGUAAGCACCCCCAAUCAAUCAGACUCUUCCCUCCUUCAACAGUUGGGUUAGUGCUCUGAUGUGAUGGAAAGCAAGAUUUCAACAAUCGAGUCCCACAAUGUCCAUGAUUUUCCUGAAAAGAUUCCGACCCAAAAGUAGCAAACUGACUAAUGAGCAAUCUUGUGACAAGGUUAGAAUGAGCAAAUCUUGUGACAAGGUUAGAAAUUAAAUGAAGGUGGUGAGCCUGGUAAUUUGUGUGGGGAUCUUGCUGUAUAGCUUGUUUUCUGAAAUGGAAUCCCACAAAGUCCAUGAUUUCCUGAAAAUAUUCCUGUCCGAAAGUAGCAAACUGAUUUCCUUUUGGCAUCACUUUGAUGAGCAGAUUUUGUGACAUGUUUCCUCCUGUUAGAGAGUCCCUUUAAUCUGAUACAAAGGUUACCUGAUAGAAUAAUCUUCUCCUUUUGUCUCACUAUGUGUUUGCUUGUGAACUGCCUCCUUCCCUCGCAUGUUUUCUAUAGUUGAUGUAUUUUGGCCCUCUAAUGACCCAUUUGGGGUUUUGCUUACUAUUAUUUCAAACUCAACAUGGUUGUGCACCAAAUUUCGAAAGCUGUUGGUCCCUCUAAGCAUAUGCUUCUUACAUAAGGCUGAUAUGGUUAAGGGUAAGUAUAUGUAUGCUUAUUAUUUCUCUCACCAGCUAAUUUCUAUAUGACGUUUCUGGUAUAAUGUUUUCUUUCCUAUGAUGGUAUGCAUCUUUCGAAACUUUGAACGAGUUUGUGCUAGAGCUGUUGAUAUGGCUGCUUCCAAGGUCGAGACCUGACAACAUUAGCUUCAGGUGUUUAUUAUGAUUACAAGCAACAGUGUUUAUUAUGAUUCCAAGAUGAAACUUGAGGCGUUGGAUAUGAAUGGAGAUUUCGGUUUUGAGUGAUAGGAGCAGUGAUGUGUCCUUGUCCAGGCAUCGGAUUUGGGUUGGAAAAGAAAAACAGCAGAGAUGUGAUAGUCAUGUAAUAUCAACAACCACAAGGCUUACAGAAGUUGACAGUUCCCUCAAAGAAACGAGCAACAGAUAUUGACUAUCAUAAAAGUUUUGCAUUUCAUUGGUUGGUUAAGUUGGGUCUACAGAUGUGAGAUGCUACAGAAGAUUGGUUGGAGAAAUUGUAGUUGUGAGUAGACGAAUUCUCUCUGGUUACGUUGAGCUCUGUUUCAGUCUGAGUUUUGAUUUUUGCUGGUAGGAAGGAGUGUAGUAGAAAGAAGAGUUUUAGACCAGUUGUGGGACUGACAUGUGCUGCUGGUUCUCAUGUAAUAAAUAAUGAAGCAGGUGAAGGCUGCUGCUGCUAUCAAACAAGAGAAGAAAGUCAAGGUUCUGGCUGCUGCUGGGGGUAAUAUAUGCUAGUAAAGAAUAUUUGAGAUGGUUUACUACACAGUUAGUUAUAUUUACAAAGAUUAUGAAGUAGUUUUAUUCUGGUUAAUGCCAUGUUGGAAAAGUUCUCACUAUAUUUCUAUGAUUCUCAUUUAUCAGAAAGGGACAUAAAAUUGGUUUGAUUGAAGAGAAUGACUCAAAAUAUAUAUCAGAGCCUGGUUUCGAUCCAGGGACCUGUGGGUUAUGGGCCCACCA